rnacentral:lncRNA from 1 species
UCAUGAAAAGUGCAAUAUAUUUCAAAAUAAUCUGACAAAGAUGUAAGCCAAUGUUAGCCCGAACCUAAAAACAUUCGACCUACAUUAUCUUCAAUGGGUUACCCAUUUAUCAAUAUCUCUAAAAGGACAAAAAAAUAAAAAACUUUAUCUUUAUAUUACUUCACAGAUUUUUAAAAUAAAAAUAAAACAGAAAACACUUUUAUACUAGGUAUUUCAAUAAAAUUCUUUGAAUAAUAAAGACAGAUUAUAUCAAUUUUAUUUAAAUGUUCUUAUUUAAAAUUAAUUGCAAGACAAUCAAUUUUAUUUCAAACAGUCAAAGUCAAACUCAUCGCAAGACAAGAAGGUAGCCGAAAUCCUAUAAGGAGCAUGCUGAAAGGAGAUUACAAAUGAUGCUGAAAACUUGCCAAAUGACCUAUAAAGAGUUUUCCCUCAAUUUGUUACCGUUAUAGGAUUGAUUCCAUAUGAUCCUGAAAUGAACAAUAAGGAGAUUGCUAUCCAUUGCUCUCAAUCCGGAUGCUGAAAAAUGCCAAAUGACCAUUAAGGAGAUUGCUCUCAAUUACUCUCACUUGUGAUACAGAAAAACUGCCAAACGACCUUAAGGAUCACGCUUCCUUAUCAAGCAAAGUCAGCCCAAUAUUUUGCCACAUCUUGGGUGGAAUGCGCCUCAACUUGAGGGUUUCUUUGAUUACUUGGGAGUACUGAAUCUUUGAUUACUUGGAGUACUGAAUCAAAAUCUAGACGAAUGUCGGACCUGAUUCCAACGGUUGUCUCCAUCAACACAUCAUGGUUAGUAAUGAAUAAAUCAUGCAAAUAACCCUUACAUUCAUUAAGUUGUUAGUAAUUGCAUUAAUUCAUGGAAAUAACCCCCAACAAUUCUAAUAGGUAGAUGAUAAGGGAGUCAAUAAAAGCAAAAUAUCUAAAACCUUGAUUGACACCGAAAUACUACAGGUUUAAUUUAACUUUAAAAAACUAAUUUCAUAAUUCUAAAUACAAAAAAAAUUAAGUAUAAAACAAACAUUAAAAAAUGUAAAAGACAAGCCAAACUCGCUAUCCACAAAGAAAGUAGCGCAAGCAUUAAACAUCUGUCAUUUGAUAUCAGGAGAUUCUCAAAAGCAAAUGCAUAUAAUCACUACCAAAAUUUACAUUCGGGUUUCAUAUACACUUUGCUUAAUCCUCCAAAGUUAAAAAUACAACUAACCAUCACAUCACAAAAACUAGAAGUAAGGUAAAUAACUUCGGUAUAAUGAAUUUCAAAUGGAUCAGAUUAUUUGGCUUGAUUUCUCAAAAGAGAAACAAAUUCGCACAGUAUGUUCAGCUUCGAUCAUCUGGGGAAAUAAUCAUCAAAUCCAAAUUAUAUUCCAUAUAAAAAAACUGAGCAAUUAAAAUUACAAAUAGAAACAAAUAACACAAAUAAACAUUGAUAACUACUAAUUACUAUGGGUCAGAUUAUUUGGCUUGAUUUCUCCAAAGAGAAACAAAUUCGCACAGUUUUUUCAGCUUCGAUCAUCUGGGGAAAUUAUCAUCACACCCAAAAAGUAAAAUUACAAUGCAACCUAAGCAUUAACUUAUCAUGUUAUUCACUAAUACACUUCAAAACAAUUAUUUAAAAAAAAAGACAUAUUAGAAUUGUAACAAUGGAUCAGAUUAUUUGGCUUGAUUUCUCAAAAGAGAAACAAAUUCGCACAGUAUGUUCAGUUUCGAUCAUCUGGGGAAAAAAUCAUCACAUCCAAUUACCAAACAACUCUUAUGAUGUAAAAAUUGAACAUAAUGACACAAAAUUCACAGCCAUUGAUUUUGAAUCAAAUUUCAGUACAACAAAAUGGAUCAGAUAAUUUGGCUUGAUUUCUCAAAAGAGAAACAAAAUUCGCACAGUAUCAUCAGUUUCGAUCACCUGGGGAAAUUAUCAUCACAUCCAAUUUAUCAAUAAAACAGAUCUUUCGCAUUCAACUCAUCAGCAAUAAACACAAUCCCGAUAAAUAAACAAAAAUUAAUGAAUCAGAAAAAAAAUUCAACAAGAGGGAGAAUAUUCCUAUCUGCAAUAGAACUGAAUCAAACAAAAGAAAACAGAGCUUAAAGAAUUGCAGAGAGAAAUCGAUUUGGCGUCAGCUCAUACUCAAAGCUCACACGAUUCAGAGCAUUGGUAAUCAGUAUUUUGACGCUAAAAAAAUUAGGCAAACCCUAAAUCGAAAAUUGAAACAACCACUGCAAAAGACAGAAGCUAUGAGAGAGUGUAAUUGAUAAUAUUAGAGAAGAGAGGCGAAGGUGUUUAUAAAGGAGAAAACGAAAGAAAGAGUCUGCGGCUACAAAACCCUAAUUUAGUUUGUGCGAAAGAAACCCGGGUUGGCCUUCAAGAUUGGAUUAGCCCAUAUAUUCUAAUGGCCCAGCAUAAAAGUUGAAAGAAAUAACCUGAUUUUUUUAAAUACAAAAUAAUGUUAGAAGAGUCAAUUAGGUUAAAAGCAUGUGACUAUAUUGAAAUAGUUAUUAGUAUUAAAAAAUAAAUAUGAUUAAUAUAUUCAAUAUCCAUGUAAAUAAUAAAAUAAUUAACUAUUAAUUUAUUUUUAAAAUAUGUGGUUGAGUUAGUUGAAAAAAAUAAUUUAGUGAAUGUAACCUAUGAGAUUUUUCACAAAAGAAAAUUAAAAAAAUAUAUAUAUAAUAAAAUGUUUUUUAUUUUUAUUUUUUUAAGCAAAAGAUGUAUUAAAAAGAACAAAAUGAUAUGCUUACACAUAUUUGAUAUUCUUACACUUGAUUCAUACGUUACACUGUAUGAACAGCGUAAGAAUCCUAAUUAAAAUAAUCAAACAUUUCUCCUACACUUUUGGUUAUCUAUGUGGUAUUAUAUGUGGGUUAUCUUCACAUUUUCUCUCCUAACAACAACCACAUACAUCAGUUAUGAUGAGUUGUAUGGAAGACUAGCUCAAUAGCAUUUUUCAUUAGCUAUGUUUCGUUCAUAGAAAAGUUUAAUUUCCAAGAAAAUGGUACUAGUUGUUGUUUGAUCUCCAAGAAAAUGAACGAACACCAUUUUUGUUCAAAACUAGUUGUUGUAAAUGUAUCAUGGACUGCUUCUUUCAUUGCAUACUUGAUCCUUUUGUAUUCACCAUAUCAACUAAACUUUUCUGGAAUUUUUUUCAUUAUAUGCCAUAAACACCACCUAUGACGAGUUGUAUGGAAGACUAACUCAAUAGCAUUUUUCAUAGCCUUACAUUGAUCGGUCACAAUACCCAAAGGUGCUUUUUCUAGCAUACAACGAAGUCAUGACUUAAAUAGCCACACAAAAGAAUUUGUGUCUUCACCUAAUAGUAAUCCACAACCAAGUAAUGUUGAUUGACCAUGGUGAUUCACAUCCACGAAUGCAGCAAAAAGCAUGUCAUACUUGUUAGUCAAGUAUGUUGUGUCAAAAGUUACAACAUCUCCAAAAUAUUCGUAAGCGGCUCUACUUCUUGCAUCAGCCCAAAAUACAUUCCUCACAUGAAAAUCAUCACCCAAGUCUAUGUCAUAGAAGAAAUAUGUAUUUUGUUCCCUCGUUUUACAAAAAAUAACUAAUCAAAUUCUUACCAUCACCUUCUUUUCCAAUUGCACGACGCUCUUUGUUAAUAUAAUUCCUCACAUCUUUUUCACAAAAGGGAAUAUUUUCAUGUCCCCCUGCAUCUUUAACAAGCGAUUGAAAAGUCUUGUUGAUCCUUACUCUCACAUCAUCAUUGAUUUGGAUUGUUCUCCUCACAUGUAAGUUCAUUUUCUUGUUAACCUUGAACAAUAUUGCUUUUAUAGGGCUAGUCUCAUGAGAAUGGUUAGAUUCAAAUUGUGUAAUGUACCACAAACCAUCUUGUUUCAAUUUAAUACAAAUCUUGGCAGGACAAUUUUUCGCUCUAGGUGGUAGUGUCUUUAACGUGCAUAAAUUUUUUGAAAUGUUAGACCCCUCUCUUGAACAUGAAAGUAUUAGGUAGUUAACCUCCCCGUCAUCUUCUUUUUUCGAUGAUUUAAUCCUCCAUCCAAACCCCUUUUUUAAAGCAUACUCUUGAUAAUAUGUUUUAACUUUCUCUAAACAAGAAAAACACAUCCCAAUUGCAGGAACCCAAAGUGAGUCAUCAUCAUCACCACCACAAUCACCGUGAUCAACUUCUACAUCUUCCCCUUGACUACUAUCAUAUUCUAUAAAAAUGCUUGAAUUGUCCAUUAUGACACAAACUGCACAAAAAAUGUCAAUGUUAUGUAUAAUAUAAAUUUAUAACAAUGUUGGUUAAUAGCAUUCAAAAGUAUGGUUAAUGUUGUCUAUAAUUUGGUUAAUAAACGCCGAGACAUGUGGGCAGGUUUAUAACAUUGUUUAUUACAAAGUUGGUUAUUGGUGUGACAUAAGUUGGUUAAUACAAUUCCCAAAGUGGUUAAUGAACCAACAUGAGUAAAUAUAUGAAAUCAAAUUGUUUCACAAUUAAUAAACAUGGUUAACGGUGUGAGCAAAGUAGAUGAAUAUUGUUUAGAACAUGGUUAAUGAACAAACAUGAAUAAACAUAUGAAAUCUACAACAGUAAACAAAGUUGAUUAAUACUGUGUUAAAUCUAGAAACAUAUGAACAAUUAUGAACAAACAUAUGAUCCAAAAGAAGAACAUUGAUAUUAUUGGAUGAAUCUACAAAAAUGAUAUCUAAAAACUUAUUGAGUUAAAUCUUCAUCUUAAUCACAUAAUGAUUCUAAAUAACUUUCUAUUUUUCUUCAUAAACCAUGUAUUUGAUUGGGUAUGGUUGUAGAUGUAAAGAAAAGAAUAGUUGAAGAAUAUAUGAGAAAUGGUGCGGAAAAAGAAAGAAGAAAAAGAAAUGGAAACAGUGUGGCUGAUGUAUGUGGUUGUUGUUAGGAGAGAGAAUGUGAAGAUGGCCCACAUAUAAUACCACAUAGAUAACCAAAAGUGUAGGACAAAUGUUUGAUUAUUUUAAGUAGUAUUCUUACAUUGUUCAUACGGUGUAGUGUAUGAAUCAAGUGUAAGAAUAACAAAUUUGUAAAAAGAAAGAUUACUAGGGGUACUCAACCCUUACAAGAGGAUGACGAUAUAAAUGAAAAUGUUGUAUUAAAAAACUAAGCAAGUAACCUAGUUGGAUUUACAAGACAAACCGACUGAUUGGCACACCAAUUGACCCAAUACCGAGCUUUUGCACCUUUGUUCCUAGCUAUGACCCAGUCAUAAGCCAAUACUUUGGCCUUAUCCACCAAACCAUAUACCCGAAUGGGAGCACAUUUGAACACCAUUUUGUUCCUGUAUGUCCAAAUCGACCAAUAAACUACUACCUAAACCAGAAGUCGGGGCUUUUUAUUCACUCUACCUUUAAGAGAAAAGAAGAAUCUAGAAAAGUAUGUGCCCGAAAAAUCCAAUUGGGAGUGAAAAUGAAUUUCUAGCCAAAGACAAAUUUUCUCUCAGACUCUAGACACUGACUUGUACUCAACAAAUAUAUGAGAAAUAAAGUCAUCAUCAACAAAACAAAGCGGGCAAAGCAAAUUGUUGUUUCCAAAAAUGAUUCCUCUAUUAGUUAAUGCUACUUUAUCAACAGUAACCUCCAACCAAAUAUAAGAAUAUUACUUGGCGUGUUCGUGAACCAAAGCUUAUCCAACAACUGAAUUAUAUUUUCAUCAACCUGCAUAUCAUAAUCAAAGAUUGAUUCAAGAACUUGAUAACAACUUUUAACUGAGAAACCCAACUUGUUCCUCCACCACACAAAUUCAUCCUCCUCAAACGGUUUCACCUGUACCUCCUGCAACAUAGUCAACAAAUAGUCCAAGUCCACUCCUUCUUCCUCAUAUACCAUAGAAUUGUCAUUAAUCUUCACUUCCCAAAUCCAUUUAUUAUCCUCCACUUCCCUCAUGUCUGCUACUUUAUGGUUCGGUUGCACACCUCGAGCAAAAACGAGAGGAAACAUAUUGCCAAUUGCAGCUGGUCCCAGCCAUUUGUUUUUCCAAAAAUCAAGAGAAAGUCCAUUACUUAAUUUACACGAUAUGUUAGAAGAAAACCAGUUUGAAUUUUCCUUCUCAAUUGGACCUACUAGAUUCAAAUCUCUUCAUCAUAACGAAUCAAAUUUGUUGACUGAUGGCCUAUCUUCAUCGAGAAUCUUUGCCUUGAUAUCCCCAUAUCUCAUAGACAACAAGCCCGACCAAAUAGCAUUGGGCUCGAUGAUAAUGCACCAUUUCGACUUACAUAACAAUGAGAUAUUAACCAUCUCAUAAUGUUUAAUUCCUAACCCUGGUUGAGACUUUGGUUUACAUAAAAUCAUCCAACAAAUCCAUGUCAUUUUUCUUUUCUCUACAACACCCCCACAUAAUUUCUUGUAUAACAAACUUGGGAGCCUUGUAGAAAGAGAAUAUGUAAAUUGGGAUCUAAUUUAGAACAUAAUUUAAAAGUGUCACACACCCUCUUAAAGAGAGAAAUUCCCCCUUUCAUUUUGACAAAUGAAUCCUAAGAUUAUCCAACAACGGUUGACGGGUAGAAAGCCUCCUCGGAUUUGCUCCUACUGGUAUGCCUAGAAACAAAAAAGGAAUAAUACGGACACCACACGCCAGGAAGGACGAAGUCACUUCUAAAAAACUUUGCUUGAUGUUAAGACCAAUAACUUUGCUUUUGAUGAAGUUAACAUGCAACCUCAAUACCAAUUUGAAUCCUCUAAAAACUGCUUUUAUAUCCCAAAGGUUAUGCCAUGUUCCUUCUCCUACAAUUAUCAUAUCAUUCACAGAUUAUAAUAAAUUGAACUUAACUUCAUUCGAUACCUUUAAAGGUUGAAACAUACCUGACAAAAUUUCAUUUUGCAUUAAUCCAUUUAAACCUUCAGUUGUGAGCGGGAACAAGAAAGGCGACGACUUUGAUAGUUUUGCAUUUAUUAAAUAACAUGCUUGUAUCGAAGUUAGCAUGUUAUUUAUAAGAUUUGUCUCAAUAUAGUUAACAUAUAUUUGACAAUAAAUAACAUAUAGUUGAUAAGUUUUUUUAUAGUAAAUGAGUUUAUAGUUUAUAAGCUUAUUUGAUGGUUAAAUAGUGAAGAAACUUAUUUACUUUAUAGUGUUUGUUAAAAAUAGCGGCUAAGUUAAUUUAUAAAUGCAAAAUGAGAUUGUAUUUAUAGUUAAUACAAUAAUAAUGACCUUGUCAUUGAUAUGUCAAACAAGAUAUCUUCUUUGAAUGAUUUGUAAAAAUAAUGUGAUAGCUUGACUUAACCUUGGUGGUAGGUGAAUUUAACCCAUUUUAGCAUAAUGAAGCAUACAUGGCCUUUGGGCUUUCUCCUUAUAUUUUGUAGGGUUAACUUCAAACAUCAAAAGCUCUUCAAAGAUCAGAAUGUAAGUUACUAAUUUCAAAAUAAAUGGUCUACUAUCUCUUUCUGAAAAACUUUCAUGAUGAUGAUUAAGAAAGACUCUUAACCAAGAAUCAGAUCCAAGCAUCGAGUCUUUAAGGAAUUAAAAAUUAGGCUCUGAACUUGGAACUUGGGGAACUUGGCAUCAAGUUUUCAAUUCGACAUCAAGCUAAGACUUGGGAAUCAAGCUUUUGAGAGUAAUUCUUAACUAGGUUCUGAUAGCUCUUGUCAAAGAGAUUUGUCUUUCAAAGGUAAUCAAGCUCUGAAAAAGAAUUUCAAAGAAAGCCAAAAUUCAAGCUUCUGAAAGGAACUAGAUUCUGAAACUUCUUCAAAAAGAAUUCAACUAAGCUUCUGAAGUAAAGUUCAUCAGAAUGUUGAUGUUAACAAACCAGUGUUCUAGACAACAUCAAACAACUUCUGAAGACAAAUCAGAUUUUGAUGGAAGACCAUUUUGGUACUUCAAAAAGGUUAAUCAGGAAAGUGCUCUUUCAUUCUGAUUUUAUCUUUUUAGGGUUAUACAUCUCAGGGGGAGAUUUGUGCUUAUGUAAGAUGUGUCCUUUUGUGAUUACCCUGUACAAAAUUGUUCAUCAAAAUAUAUGUUUUUGUCAUCACACAAAAAGGGGGAUAUUGUUAGAACAAUAUUUGGUUUUGAAUCUAUAUAUUGAGUUUUGAUGAUAACAAUGUUGUAUUUGUGUGAUAACAAUUUUGUUAUCCUAAUGGUUUGUCAUUGUGUAGCUUUAACAGCCAGUUCUGAUUUUGAGUGUAUGACGUGCAACAUCAUCAGUUUCUGAACAAUGAGUUCCAAUUCCACUUUUGCACUAGUCAUAAGAAGGUAUGAAAGAUGUUCAAAGUUAUUGCUGCAAUAAUCUUUUUGCUUCUAUGUUGAUUCACUCCUGAGAAGCUUACGAGGAGAUAUUAUGUUGUUGCUGCAAAGUUCUCUCAGUUCGUGCUUAUGGACAUGACUCUGAUCAUUAAGCUUCUGAAGAAUGUCAAGCUUCUGAACUUGUGUUAAUUAGCUGAAGAUUCUGAAGAUCUCAAGUCAGAUGUUGAGGUUAUCAAGGUUUUGAUAGUAGAUUCUGAAGACUCUGAAGAUUCUGAAGAUAUUGAAGAUCUCAAGCUAGACUACUGUCGUUGUCAAGGUUCUGACCAAAGAUUCUGAAGUUUUUGAAUUCAGCUUUAUGUUUCUUCAUUUCAUGCUUCAUCAACUUUCAUCAGAAACCAAUGAACUUGAAAAUAAGGCCAAAUGGGUAUGUGAUCAAAUAGUACAUCGUAGAAAUUAAAUAUUCUUUCCACUACCUGAUUUCGUGGACAAGGACAAUACUAUUCAUCACACUUGUCACUGAUUUUGUGGGCGAAGGACAGUAUGCAAUAUCACUCCUUUCACCAUUCAAUAGUGAACAACCGUUCUAUUUGGUUUCCCCAUUUUCCCUCCAAUGGUCUCUUUUCUUAUGCUAUAUAAGUGGGACUUGGAGACUUGAAGAAAAAAAGUAUGCUUCAACAAUUUGACAAGUUUGUUUCUUUGUGAAAAGCUAUCAAUUUUUGUACACAGUUUUUCUUUAAGUAUUUGAUUAUCAUUCGUGUAAAAUGUGUUUGUAUAGAAGCAACUUGUAACAUACAAAAUAUUGUUCAAACUGUUUAUUUGAUUCCUUAAGGAGACUAGGGUGUAACUAGAUUCUUAAGAAGACAAAGAAGGUUGUUCUUUAUGAAUCCUUAAGGAAUAUAGGGUAUAGUCGAAUCUUUGAGAAGACAAAGAAGGUUAUUCUUUGUGAUUAUUGUAAUCAGUUAAUUAUAAUGGAUUAAGUCCUUAUGUAUAAGGCAAAAUCACCUUGGCGGGUCGACUAGAGUAGCUUUGAGUUUCAAGCGAAUCAGGAUAAAAAUACUUGUGUUUUUAUCUCUUUAUUAUUAACAUUUAAGUGGUGUUUUUGAGUUGGUAAAAAACUUUUGUUUUGUAAAACCCAAUUAAAACUUCCCUUUCUUGUGUUUUCACAUCUUCACUGAUAUGGCUGCAACAACUUAACUUACCAAAUUUCCAUCUUGCCUGAACCAAACCCAACUUAGGGUUCUCAAGAAGGUAAGGAAUUAUCUUCCAAAGAAAAUUUGGAUCUGGAUGGAAAUUUGCAUCAAAUAUUGCCACAAACUCACAAUCCUCAACAUAUUCCUUCUCUAAACCCUCUUUUAGGGUACCUGCUUUGUAACCAUUGUGAUUUGCCCUUAUUACAUACUUGACAUUCACACCUUUAUGUAUCCAUUUUUGACACUCAAAUUCAACCAAUUCCUGCAUGUUAUGAAAAAACACAUGUUUACUAUAACUUUUUACACUCAUACACAUAAACUUAUGAGAUCUUCCAUGAUUAAACUUUACUGGAUUAAUUAGAUACCCUUAAGACUUGAUUUGUUGAGUCAUCAAGAACUUGAACUAUGAGUCUGUCAGUUGGCCAAGAAAGCCCACGUACUGCUCCAAUUGAAAGCUUGUAGACCUUGAAGAAGAAAUUGAAUAUUCUUAACCAAGGUAAUUCAUCUAUAUUCUUUAAUAUUUACUGAAAUUACUUUAUCAACUUAAUGGACAAUCUUUAUUUUUACAAAAGUAACCAACUUGUGUUCUUUGACUUCAGCAUGUAACUAUGAUUUAUGAUGUGUACGAAUCAUCUUAUAUUUUUAGAAAAGCUCCAUACAAUACACAUGAUAGAAGCUGUAGAGUUACUUAAAAUCAAUCAAUCAAAUUUAGUUUCACAACUCAUGAGCUAACAUACUAACAUACAAAUUUAGUCCCUUAAUAAAUAACCAAUAUUUAACCCAUCCUAGUGAAGAAAUGUUCUAACAUACUAAUCGAAACAUUGUUGCUAUUUUGGAAAAUAAUUUGUAAUAUGUCAACUUAAUCCGGUGUUAAAAUUGAAACAUUGCAGCAAGACCAAAUUUAUGAACUCUCCAUACACAACUCAGUUGGAAUAUAUAAAGAAUUUAGAGAAUGAUGCAAUAAUUAUAGACCACAAAAACAUAAUUUGGGUUGAGGGGUAAUGAAAUAUUUUACACCUGUAAACCCUAUAAUCAAAUCAAAUGAUACAUAAUUGACUCUUGUAAUGAGGAAUUAAGAGUUCUUGUCAUGAGGAAUUACUAGAAAAAAUGUAUUAUUUCACUUUUAAUAAUUGAUUCUUUUUAUUUUAGAGUUUAAAUUUAGAUUUUAGUCUCUCAUUCCUUGUACAAAAUGUUAUUUUCUAGUUCUUUUUAUUUUAGGGUUUAAAUUUAGAUUUUAUUCUCUUGUUUCUUAUACAUUUUAUGAUACUAUAUAUUAAAAUGCUCAUUUUAUUGAUUGAAUAUUUAAGUUUUCAUUUCUUAAGAUAACAUUUUACGAUACCAUAUAUCAAAAGGCUCAUUUAAUUGAUUGAAUAUUUAAGUUUUCAUUUCUUAUGAUAACAUUAUUAAUAAUGAAAAUAAUAUAAAGUUGUUUCAUCUUAAAUUGGUCCAGAACCGGUUGAUUUUGCGGCUGAACCUAAGAGAAUCUAUUAUAUUAAUACCCAAUAAUUUAUAGCUUUCAUGCAAUUUUCAUCGAUAUUUAUGCAGGUUUGUUUUGUAUACUAUUUAAUUGGUUAUCAUUUUCUUGAAUAGUAAGACAAAACACAUUUAUAUGUAUGCAUCAUCAUCAUACACAAAACUCAUACUUGUGAUAAAUAUGUAAUUAUAUUGAAAAUAUCUUAGUUUCUACCCUCCAGCUAGGGACGCAUGGAGAGGGUAGUAAUGAGCUCUUACCUAUUUUUCCAUCAUAAUUUAUUAUAAUUAAUUAAUAGUAUAAUAAUAAUAUUAUUUUAUAAUUAAAAUAUAUACGAUAUUAUGAUAUUUGACUUUAAAGAUCAUAUUCGUCUUCCACCAUCCCUAUUUUUUGUUGUUGCAUUUCUCUUAAAAUUAAAAUAUACAUGAUAUUGUGAUAUUUGCCUUUAAAAACUAAAUUUUGUUGUUGUAUUUCUCUUAAAAUAUACAUGGUAUUGUGAUAUUUGCCCUUAAAAACUAAAAUGUUAUUUUUAUUAGAUCAUAUAUAUUAUAAAUUAUAGGCAAUAGAUUAUAUAUAUUAUAUACGUGAUUGAAAUGUUCUUGUUGCCUAGUUAUUCUCUAGCUCGUUUCUAUUAAAAAUAACAAUUGAAACUAGUAAAACUAAUUAUAAAUUGUUUUUAAAUUUUUUUAAGAGAUAAAAAAAUGAAUAAAUAUGAAAGAUCAUUUUACAAUUGUUCCCCCAAAAAUUUGAACUUGAUUAAGCUCUUAACAUGUUUUUUUUCAUAAUUUAAAAAAUUGAAAAAUUAGAGGUAGAGAAUAAAAGACUCCAAAAAAAACUUUUCUCUCGCUUGUUUUUGAAAAGAAAUUAAUGAGUGGUUGAAAAGAUUAUCAUAAUGAUGAAGAUAAAAUUUAAGUAACUAUUUAUAUAAGUACUUAAAGAUAAUUCACACGGGCAUGUUUAUUAUUAUAUUUUAAAAAAAUCUGACCCUUAAUUUAUCUGUAAAAUAAUAAGAGAUUAUUUAAAUUUUUUAAUUAUUUGUUAGAUAAUAUAUGCAUAACACAUAAAUGUAAUAGAGGUUAAAAUUUAGAAUUUCUCUAUAUUUCAAAUAAAUAUAUAUUAUUCAUUCUUACAUGACAUGCAUGAUUUUAAGAGUCAUAUUUAAUAUAUGAAAAAUAAAAAAAAAUACUUGGCGGUGUCUAGCAUGUAGUUGGUUGAAUUCGUUGUGAAUGAAAUGCAUGACUUCAAUAGUCAUAUUGAAAUCAUAUUAAGGAAGAAAAAUCAAUUAUGUGGAAAUCUAUCUAAUAUUUAAAAUUUAUUUAUUUUAUUUAAAAUUAAUGAUAGAUUAAUUGUGUUUUAUUUUUUCUUUAUUAAUAUUCAUAAGGCUUAAGUUUCUAAAAUAAAAUUAAAAUUCUACAUUUUAGAUUAAGUUCAAAUUUAAAUUAUUGAUUAGGAGGCUAAUGGCUUAAUCUUGAUUACGGUUUAAGGCUUAAUCAUGAUUACGAGGGUUCAAAAUUAGUAUUCCCAAGACUUAAGCUUAAUCAUGAUUACGAGUAUCCAAGUUUAAUAUUUAUUUUACUACCUUUCGAUUCAAUUUUAGACUAUCAAAGUCUCUUUUUCUCAAGAAUGGGAGGGAUAAGCUUAUUAUUUCAAAUUAUUAACAAUUCUCAUGUUUACAUUAAUGGAGAGUUUGUUAGGAUUUCGGGUUAAUAGACUUGUCUUGUGGUGUAAGAGUGAGAAUUUAUUCAAGUUUUUUGAUUAAUUUAUACUAUCAAAUAGUUUAAAUAAAAUUGCAAGCGAGACAGAGUGAAAGGAAAAUUCAAGUAAUGAUCAAUGGGUUGAAUAUUUGCUUUAUCCAAUUUUCAUCUCUUUAAUGGUGACCGAUUAUCUUCAAUUUAUUUUUGUUGACAUAAUAGUUUAAAUUUGAAGCUAUAAUAAAUUUUUGAAGGAUUUACUAUUCACGUUUAGUCCUCAAAUUAAGGUUAUCUUGAAUAAAUGUCCAAGUAAAAAUAAUCAAAGAUAUUUUAAUUUGUUUGUGUAUUACUAAUUUAAAUGUUGAAUAUUAUAAAAUUAAUCUUUAUGAAAAUGAGUUAAGAACUAAGGGACCGAGGAAAAUCUAGGAGAAAUUUUGAAUGAAGGAUGCAUUCACUAAAGUCUGCUAGAUUUUUAAAAUGUAUCACCUUGUUCAUUAAUUCAAUCAAGUUUUGAAUCAAUCUAUAAUAAUAUUAAAGGUUAAUUGACAAGUAUUUAAGUUGUUGAUGUUAGAAUAAUAACUCAUUACAAUAGAUAAACAAAAUAGUAAAAUGUCAUUGUGUUUGACAAACACAAUAUAUGGCUCAAAUGAGUAAAGUGAAAAUGACAUAAACACAAACAAUUUAAAUGCUAUGUAAAUGACAAAUGAAUGGUAAAUGACUUGAAUUUAAAUUGCAUAAAGUAAAUGACUUGAAAGUAAAAGCAAUAUUAAUACAAGUUAGUCAAAUGUUAGUUUAUUAGAUGUUAGUGAUGUUUUUUUUUGUUCAAUUGAUUAAGUUAUUCUUUGGAGAACACUCAACCAUCUAUUCACAAGCAUGGAUCCUUGAACCAAGACAUCUUCCAAAGGAAGGAAAAAAGACAAAGUUACCACACAAUACCAUGAAAGAUGGGAGACUUACAAUCUCACUUACUAGAAUGAUAUGCCUUUAGGGUCAAAAUUUAGCUCUAUGUUAAACAAUCAUAAUUGGACUUAUGUAGAAGUCACAACUAUCUGAGGUCGGACAAUAAAAAUUUAGGUGCUAAUGCAUGUUAGAGAUUUGGUAUAAUGAACCAAACUCCUAAAACACACCACACACUAAAAGAAAACAAAUCAAAGGGUGAACCUACCUCAUCCAUACUUGUAUUGGUUCAUCUAACACAAGGUUAUUGAUGAACCAAUUAGUCUUAGGAUAUUGAGAUUUCAUUGGUCAAUGAAAGAGAUUGGAUAGAAAAGGAUUGAAGAUGAAGAGAGAAGGGAGAUGAGAGAAACUCAAAUUGGUCAUGGGAGGAAUUUUAUCAAAUUAAAAUCAUUCAUUCAUUUUGGGAGAUGAAAUGUACAUUUCAUCAAUCCCCUAAAUACAAUGAUUUUAACUUAAUAAAAUUCAAAUCAACCUUGACCAAGGCCCAAACACAUAGCCAAACAUCACAAGUCAAUAAAAAUGGCUCAACAUAAUUUCUAUACAAUUAAUCAAUUAAAAAUCAAAUUAAAAAUGCAUUUUAAUUAAAUUUAGUUUGGUCAAAACCUAAAACCUCUUCAAAACACCAAAUAAAUGGUCAAGAGAUUUAUCCUAGGUUAAACAAAGUCAAAGGACCUUAGACAAAGAAUUUCAUAAUUUUUGAAAAGUCAGAAGUAUUUUUAAACAAUUAAAAAUAUGCACAAAAACAAUUAAUUCAUGAAAAAUAUCAAAAUUAAUCCAAAAAAUAAUUUUAAUUUAGAAAAAAUGAAAGAGGACAAUAUUUAAAGAUUUUUGGUGAAAGUCCCAUAUUUUUUGGAUUAAAAAUGAAAUUAAUAUGAAUCAAUCAAAAUAAGUGGAUUAAAUAAAAAAAUCAGAAAAUACAAAAAAACAAGGGCCACCAAAUCUCCCUCAUUAAUUGAGGUGGCAGAUCUAAUGGCUACACGCGUGCGUUCUAUCGUACGUCUUUUUGUACGCGUGGUAAUCACAAUGAACGCUUGAGAUUAAAACAUUUGAAUCAGAUCAGAUUGCUUGGACUUUGCCAACGUACCUCCGGAGCCCUAGCUCCGGUCAUCUUUUCCGAUGAUCACCACCGGUCUGGUUCAAGCUCAACUUUAUGGAAAAUGAAAAGUAAAUACAAUAAUUUGAAGGAAAAAUGUCCAGGAGCACGAAUCUGACCUUAAUUUUCUCCAAUUCUAAGUAUAUAAAAAGAUACAUGGAUUUGAAUUUUGAGGAUCAUGAACUGAGUUUCUUCGAUUUUACCUCAAAGCAACUCAAUCUUGUUGCCUACAUUGGUAGGACUUCAGUCAACCAAAAAUCAUAAAGAAUGGUGAAGAAUUGAGAGAGAAAUGAAGAGAUGAAGUUUCUGAAAAAUCACCUUCGAGUUGAUCUAAUUUCACUUGAUCUUGAUCUGGAUUUGCUUGCUUUCUCUUCCUCUUGCUUGCAGAAACCAAUUGAGAUGAAAAAGGAAGUGAAUUUCUGGAGUUUGAACUUCCAAACAGAAGGUGAAGUUCAAGCUUGAUUUCAAGAGAAAUAUUCAGAAAUUCUAUGGAAAUGAGGGUUUAGAUCAAUCUAGAAAAGCUUGGGCAGGGUGUUUAUGAAGUUUCUGAAGCCAUGAGCUUGUUUAAAUAGGCAUUGGAAUUGAUUUUUGCACCACUUGAAAUUUUCCAAAUUUGGAAACAAACUUUCAUGGAUGCAUGGGCAAUGAUUUGGGCCUAAGGAAUGAUGCAAUCCAUCUUCAAUUCGUGUGUAAUUGAUGUUGAAGUCAUUACAAUGAAGCAUGUAAAUAAGAAUGAUCUCUUGAAUCCAAAACUUGCCAAAACAAAUCCCACAAUGGAGCCAUGCGCAAGUCCCUCAAUUUUGAUCCAAAUGAGAUGAUAUUAGACUUUUUGGAAAUGUGAGAUCAAGGGGAACAACUUUCAUGUUGAACACUUUUCAUUUGAAGCUUGGAUCAUGAUGAAUUUUGAGGUGGAAGUUUGGGAAAUCAAACAUAUUUGAAAAUUUUCUAAGUCCCAAGUUAAAUGUUCACUUCUUCCACCUUGAAUAACUUUUCCUAUGGACUUCAAAUGAAAAUUGUUUCUUCAUCAAAGUUGUAUCUCUUUCAAACCUCUUCAACUUGGUUAUAAAUUUGACCUCAUUUGGAUUUGUCAUGAAGGAGUUAUAAAUUUUAGAAGUUGAGAAAAAUCACUUGUUCAAUGAUAUUGGCCAAAAAUGACCUAUAAUGUUUCCUCUUGGCACAUGCAUUUGUAAGUUGAAUUUGAACUCAAUCCAAACAUAAAAGUUUAAAUAUACAUUGUGAAUUUGAUCAUGGAAUUUUAAUGGCUUUCAUCUCAUAAGAAUUGAGCAAGUUAUGGUCUUGGGAAGUUAACAUCCAAACUAGGGUUCAGACAAAAUGACCUAUAAUCUUUCACAUUAAAAAAUGACUUUCCAAGCAAAACUAGCUCUAGACUUAAACAUGAAAGUUGUUUGUAAUAUAAUUUUGAGUAAUGUUUAUCUUGGAAUCAUUUUCAUAUGACAAAAAAUGUAGGAGAUAGGGUCUAGGGAACCCCAGUUUUGAUGAGUUGACUUUCUCUGGCCAACCACCAUGAACCAUCUUUCUAGCUUGAAAUUCUCUUGACUUUGGGGACUCAUGGAGGAUAAUAUAGGCAUAAUAAGAUGUAAUAAGAAGUAUCCCUUGAAAUAUUUGAUCAAAUGUUGAAGAAACUUGUUAAAGAAGUCACACAAGAUACCUAGAUGAAUUAGGGCUUCCAAGAUAAACAAGCUUCAAACUCUUGAUGAAUUCUUGAUCAAAAUGACAUGUGAAGAUCAUAGGGAUCCAUAUAUGAUGCCUAGAGCCAAUUUGAACCAUUUAUUUAAUUGAUUUCCUUACAUUGAGGGUCUCAAACCCUAGAUAUGAGCUUGAUGGAGCAUAUGUGAGCAUACACACUACCUACAAAAGAGUUAAACUACACAUUGACAUAUUUUUGGUAUUUUGGUUAGUAAAUAAUAAAAAACAAAGUAUGAUACAAUCAAAAGUGCUUGGUAAUCUCUCCCAAUGCAAACCCAAUGAAUGAGGGGUAAGGAGACUACCAAGGUGUGAUCCCAAAGCUAAUGCGUAUGAUGAAAUAACAUGAGGGAUCUUAGGGUCCAAAUUGGGGUCUUGUAGAGACGUUCAAAGGCAUGUACUUGUUGUACCGACCAUGCAUACCCUGGUCAGAGUCAUCUCUCCAUUGACGGGGUUAUCGAAUGCGUUUUUAGCUUAUUCUCUAAGAUUAUGUAGGACUAAGAUAUGCUUAACAUCUCCUGGGUGAUCUUCACCUUCUUCCUUUCAUUCGUCAAUCAGAAGGGGUGAUCACGUAAAAUGCCAUUCUUAAAGAUCUAACACUUCAGGCAUUCUUCUGCUCCUUCCACCUCAAUACCAGAUUCCUUGAAAUGAUUAAUAUAAAACUAUAAGUUCUCUUUCUUCCUUUGAAUGACCCCUCUCAAGGUAGUUAUGAUCAUCAACUGUCUCUUCCUGACAUUGAAGUGCACGGAGAACCGUUCAUAGAAAUCCAUCCAUUAUUAAAUGCUCUCAUCUGGUAGACCAUUGAACCACAUCCUAGCCAAGCCGACCAGGGUUAAUGUAAACAACUUACACUUAGAUGCUUCGUCAGUGCUGAAAUAGUUCAAUCGGUCAUCGACGAGUUGUACGUGCUCAUCAUGACCGCCUUUUCCAUCAUAUUCGCAUAGUUUAAGAGGCUUAUCCAUGAAUUUUAGUAUUUUGCUAUCCAAAAUCUUGGUACACAACAUAUACUUCUAUUGAACCUUCAACAACCGGUUUACUAUUUGAUAUGAGGGAGGAGCGUGACUGCCUCGGUCUCCCUUGGGACUUUUGGAAUGACUAUGAUACUUUUUGCUUAUUUGGUGAUUCUUAUACUGAUGAGCUUAAUCUCUUCUCGUCACAGUCGACUCUGGACUGACAAUGUGAGCUCUUUGGGAUACAACUUCUUGAACAAUCUUGACUCGCUGAGGCGCUUGGUGAAGGCUUUCUUCAAGGCAAAAUGACCUUUCUUCUAUAGCUUGUGAGUUUUCCCAUCGAACGUUGAUAUACAUGUUCAACAGUUUGUUAGCGACUUGCAGUCCAAGAUUAGCUCGUAGUAACUAGAAGCCAGGUAAGGCUUCAAGCUGAGAAGUUAAUUGUUUCUACAGGGAACCACCACUUUAUGAAUAACAAGAUGGUGAUGGACAUCAAGUGAGCUCUGUCAUAGAUCGAACUAGUUUGUUGAUACCAUAUUAAAUUAGAGAGAAUGAUAUCAUAGAAUUUGAUUUACAUUUUUGUUAAUAUUUUCCAUUACUUUCUAAAUGAUUACAUAAGUUCACUUAUAGUUCUUAAUAAAAGAUAUGUCAUAACAGGGUGUAACUUCAAGCUACUCAAAGCUUGCAAUUACUGAAUAACUAAUUCUAUGAUUUAGUUAUUUGGUUUACAGAGAAAUGAUGUUACAUCCUUCUUUUUAAUGUUCAUAUAAUCUUUAUAACUAAUAAUAUGAAUACUAUGAAAUUAAAUUGCUUUAAUUUAUUUUUUAUUUUAGUUUUCUUUGUUAUAAACUUUUCUAUCUAUAUAUUAAAUGAUCAAAGUAUUUUAGGGUUUAAAUUUAGAUUUUAUUCUCUUGUUCCUUAUACAUUUUAUGAUGCCAUAUGUCAAAAUAAUCAUUUUAAUGAUUUAAUAUAUAAGUUUUCAUUUCUUAUGAUAACAAUAUGAAUAAUAAAAAGUAUAUAAAAUUGUUUACUUCUUAAAUUGGUCCGGAACCAGUUGAUUUUGUGGCCAAACCUAAGAGAGUCUAUUGUACUAAUAGCCAAUAGUUUAUAACUUUUAUGGAAUUUUCAUCGAUAUUUAUGUAUAUUUGUUUUUGUAUACUAUUUAAUUGGUUAUGGUUGUCUUGAAUAGAAAAAAUAAAAUAUAUACGUAGAUGUGUUUCCAUAAUUUUUAGAUCAUAAACCUUGAUAUUUUAUGCAUCAACAUACACUUAGAAGUGUUCAAAUUAAUAAUAAGAUAAAACACAUUUUAUGCAUCAUCAUACCCGAGAGUGAUUGAAAUGUGCAAAUUAUACAUGUUAUAUUGAAAAUAUCUUAGUUCUACCCUUUACCCAAGGACAUAUGGAGAGGGUAGCAAUCAUGGACUCUUACCCUUCUCCCGUGACAAUUUAUUAUAAUUAAUUAAUAGUAUUGAUCAAUAGUAAAAAAAUAUAACUAUUUUAUAAUUGAAAUAUAUAUAUAUAUAUAUAUAUAUAUAUAUAUAUAUAUAUAUAUAUAUAUAUAUANNNNNNNNNNNNNNNNNNNNNNNNNNNNNNNNNNNNNNNNNNNNNNNNNNNNNNNNNNNNNNNNNNNNNNNNNNNNNNNNNNNNNNNNNNNNNNNNNNNNNNNNNNNNNNNNNNNNNNNNNNNNNNNNNNNNNNNNNNNNNNNNNNNNNNNNNNNNNNNNNNNNNNNNNNNNNNNNNNNNNNNNNNNNNNNNNNNNNNNNNNNNNNNNNNNNNNNNNNNNNNNNNNNNNNNNNNNNNNNNNNNNNNNNNNNNNNNNNNNNNNNNNNNNNNNNNNNNNNNNNNNNNNNNNNNNNNNNNNNNNNNNNNNNNNNNNNNNNNNNNNNNNNNNNNNNNNNNNNNNNNNNNNNNNNNNNNNNNNNNNNNNNNNNNNNNNNNNNNNNNNNNNNNNNNNNNNNNNNNNNNNNNNNNNNNNNNNNNNNNNNNNNNNNNNNNNNNNNNNNNNNNNNNNNNNNNNNNNNNNNNNNNNNNNNNNNNNNNNNNNNNNNNNNNNNNNNNNNNNNNNNNNNNNNNNNNNNNNNNNNNNNNNNNNNNNNNNNNNNNNNNNNNNNNNNNNNNNNNNNNNNNNNNNNNNNNNNNNNNNNNNNNNNNNNNNNNNNNNNNNNNNNNNNNNNNNNNNNNNNNNNNNNNNNNNNNNNNNNNNNNNNNNNNNNNNNNNNNNNNNNNNNNNNNNNNNNNNNNNNNNNNNNNNNNNNNNNNNNNNNNNNNNNNNNNNNNNNNNNNNNNNNNNNNNNNNNNNNNNNNNNNNNNNNNNNNNNNNNNNNNNNNNNNNNNNNNNNNNNNNNNNNNNNNNNNNNNNNNNNNNNNNNNNNNNNNNNNNNNNNNNNNNNNNNNNNNNNNNNNNNNNNNNNNNNNNNNNNNNNNNNNNNNNAAAAAGAAAAAUAUAUAUAUAUAUAUAUAUAUAUAUAUAUAUAUAUAUAUAUAUAUAUUAAAGAUUAUUUUAUAAUUGUCGUUCUAAAAUUUUUAAAUUCAUUAAUUUGAGGUUACAAGAUUAAGCUCUUAAGAUGUCUUUGUUUCAGGAUUUAAAAAGUUACAAAAUUAGCCAUAGAGAAGAAAACUCUUUUAAAAACAACCUUUUCUCUCACUUGUUUUUGAAAAGAAAAAAAUGAGUGGAUAAAAAGAUAUAAAGAUGAAGAUGAAAUUUAAGUAACUACUUAUAUACCAAGUAUCCACAAAUAAUUCACACGAACAUGCUUAUUACUAUAUUUUUUUUAAAAAUCUGACAUUUAAUUUGUCAGUAAAAUAAUAACAGGUUAUAAAAUUGUAUGAGAUUAUUCAAAUUUUUUAAUUAAUUGAUAGAUAAUAUAUGUAUAAUGCAUAGAUGUAAUAGAGGUUGAAAUUUAGAAUUUCUAUGUAUUUUAAAUAAAUAUAUAAUAUUCAUUUUUACAUGACAUAUAUGACUCUAAGAGUUCUAUUUAAUAUAUGAAAAAGGAAAGAAAUACAUCAUUUAAUUACUUGUGAAUGAAAUGCAUGACUCCAAUAGUCAUAUUGAAUUCAUGUUAAAGAGGAAAAAUAUGGAGAUUUAUUUAAUAUUUAAAAUUUAUUUAUUUUAUUUAAAAUUAAUGAUAGAUUAAUUGUGUUUUUAUCUUUUCUUUAUUAAUAUUCACAAGGCUUAAGUUUCUAAAAUAAAAUUAAAAGUCUCUAUUUUAGAUUAAGUUCAAAGUUAAAUUAUUGAUUACGAGGUUAAUGGCUUAAUCAUGAUUACGGCUUAAGGUUUAAUCAUGAUUACGAGGGUUCAAAAUUAAUAUUCACAAGGCUUAAGGUUUAAUCAUGAUUACGAGUAUCCAAGUUUAAUCUUUAUUUUACUACCUCUCGAUUCAAUUUUAGACUAUCAAAGUCUAUUUUUCUCGAGGAUGGAAGAGAUAAGCUUAUUAUUUCAAAUGAUUAACAAUUCUCAUGUUUACAUUAAUGGAGAGUUUGUUAUUGGAUUUCGGGUUAAUAGACUUGUCUUGUAGUGUAAGAGUGAGAACUUAUUCAAGGUUUUUGAUUAACUUAUAUCAAAUAGUUUAAAUAAGGGUAAUGUUAACUUGUGCCCCUAGGGCACAAGUUAAGAACUAAAAAAAGAAAUAUUGUGUUGGAAAUUGUGCUUUGAUUUUAAUAAAAAUAUAAAUUUAUUUUUUUAAUUGUUUUUCCUAAUAUAAAUUUACUAUAAUUAGGUUUCUUAACUUGUGCCCCGAGGGCACAAGUUAGCAUUACCCUUUAAAUAAAAUUACAAGCGAGAGACUGAAAGAAAAAUUCAAGUAAAGAAGGAAAUGGUCAAUGGGUCGAAUAUUUACUUUAUUCAAUUUUCAUCUCUUUAAUGGUGAACUAUUAUCUUCAAUUAUUUUUGUUGACAUAAUAGUUUAAAUUUGAAGCUAUAAUAAUUUUUUUGAAGGAUUUAUUAUUCAUGUUUUGUCCUCAAAUUAAGAUUAUCUUGAAUAAAUGUCUUAGUAAAAAUGAAUCAAAGAUAUCUUAAUUUUUUUGUGUAUUAUUAAUUUGAAUGUUGAAUAUUAUAUAAUCAAUCUUUAUGAAAAUGAGUUAAGAACUAAGGGACCGAGGAAAAUCUAAGAGAAAUUUUGAAUGAAGUAUGCUUUCACUAAAGUCUGCUAGGUUUUUAAAAUGUAUCAUCUUGUUCAUUAACUCAAUCAAGUUUUGAAUCAAUCUAUAAUAAUAUUAAAUGAUAAUUGACAAGUAUUUAAGUUGUUGAUGUUAGAAUAAUAACUCAUUACCAUAGAUAAACAAAAUAGUAAAAUGCCAAUGUGUUUGACAAAGAACUUCAACUAAAUAUGUCCAUGUAUCCGACAACAAAGCAAUUAUAGUUAUGUUUUAUUGAAAAUAACUAGGGGUUACAUUGUUAUAAAUCAUAUAUAAAUAUUAAGACUUAAAUUGCAACGUCCUUAAAUUGUCUCAUCCUGUCUCACUUGUUUGUCUUUAACUAAUUAUAAAUAUCUAUGAACCACAUCCAACAAUAUUCAGCUUAGAAAAUAUGAAAUCCUAUAAAAGUUUAUGGUAUAUAACUCACAUCCUAAUGGAUGAGAGAGAAAGUGGGUUUACAAAUAUUUUCAACAAUGAAAAACAUGUAACAAGUUAAAAUAAUUAAUGAUCAUGUCACUAUUAAGAGAUUUAUCAACAUAUCAAUUGCAUUUUAUAAAAUAUUAAACUUAUAAAAUAAUAUUUUUUUAGAUGCAUAUGGAGGAUUAUCUCAAACAAUCCCAAAACACUCUUGUAAUCUUAAAAAUAGUCUCCCAUAAAAAAAUACUCAAAAAUUUAAAAAAGAUCCAUUUAUAUUUAAAUUAUAAAUAAUAUUUAAAACUAAAGAAAAAUAAUAUAUUGGCUGAAAUUUAAUUGUACAAUUAUUAUUUUUGAAUUUUUUUCUCGUAAAAUUCAUUUAUUUAUAGAGUUUUGUCAUUUUCUGAGCUAUUGAAUCAAUUGUAAAUGUGUCAAUUUACCAUGAUAAAAAAUACAAAUAUUUACAAUUUUAUAUUUUAAAAAUAUUCUCAUAAUUAUGAGCUCUCACAAUUUUAAGAAAUUAUGUUAAAACAUGAUUGCACUUGUACGGCUUUCUUAUUCAAUUGUAAUAAUAUAUAAUUUUUUAUUAAAUAUUAAUAUUUCUCAUAAAAAAAUAUUUAUAGGGUUUAUAAAGAAUUAAUAUAGUAAUAGGAAGAAAGCAGAAUUAGUUAGUAACAUUAUAAAACUUUACAAAUAAUAAAUUAGGCAAAGUUACCUAAAUUGUAAAAAAAAAUUAGACCUAGUAACUUGUUUAUUAAUUAUUUAAUUUUAAUGACUUAAUAGAAACUGGUGCAAGAAAUAUUAUGGAAUUUAAAGAUAUUUAAUUAUAACAUUUAAAAAAUAUUAUUCACAAUUCUUACUAUAAAAAUUGAAAAAAAUACCUAUAAUUUUUACUCAGUAAAAAUUUGAGAUGAUUGGUAGAGCUGAAUUUACUUUCAUAAUCAUUUUUGACAAUACAAAAUACAAAAUACAAAAUAAAAAUAUAAUAUAUAAAACAAUUUUAUUCUUAAAAUAAUUAAAGGCGAAUUGAUGAAGUAGAUAAACACUUAUAUUUUAUAUUUUGAACGAAAUGGUUAAUAUUUUUAAGCUAUUUAUCUAAAUUCAAAUAAUUAAAUACAAAAGUGCAAAUAUCAGGAGUUGAUCGGAACAAGUAAAAUAUAUACAAAUUAUUUAAUCUAUUAGUAAUUAAAAAAAAAUUAGUUUGAGACCUCAAAUUUUAUGAGAUUUUUUGAUGUGGGUCUGCUUGACAGACACAUGGCCAACCCUGUACAUAUGUUAUCUUGAGAAACCACAUAUCAAUAUUUUUGUCCCAGUGGGAUAUCUUAAAUAGCCUUCAGUCCUGGUUAACUCUUGAUGAUGAAGAUCUCUUUAAAGGUCAAAACUCACCUUUAAAUCCAUAAUCUCACCAUUGUUAUCCCUUUUAAUAAGAUUCAAUCUUUUCAAGACUUUAAAUCGUUCUUAAAUACUAAUUUCACCAAACUUGAUUUCUCAAUCCUCUAGAAGAUUUCAUUAUAUAUUAUACCAAAGAUGGGUUUAAGAGAUCAAAUUAUUCCACAUAAACUUCCUUAUGUAAUGUUCUCUCUUUCUAAUAUGUGGACUGAGGGGUACCAUUAUUGAAACUAAUCUAAUAGGUUAGGAGGCCUAGUAAAAAAAGUAUUCUAUAGGUAGGAUAUGAAAGAAUAACUCAUUUACCAUUUUUUCAACAACUGACCAAUUAUAAGAAAUAAAACUAUUAUAAGGUGUUAUGUGAGCCGAUAUAUGUGAUUGGCAUGUGUAAUAAAUUAAUGAUGAUAUGCAAUAAAUUCCAGUUGAGUACUAUGUGAAAGUUCUAUGUUGUGAGUUAUUAAUUAAUUAAAUUGAUAAUUACUAUGUUAAUGACCUUUAUAUGCGAUUACUAUUGGGCAUGGUCGAUGAUGAUCUGCCUGUUAGAUUACACAUGUACAAAGAAAGAAUUUAUAAGUGAUUUAAUGGAUCGCCUUGAUUGUUGGAAACUACCAUGCAAUCAUUUAUUACUUUAAUAUGUCACAAAGAGAUCUUUAGAUGGUUUAAACAAGUCUAUAGUUACUUGAACAUGUCUGUUUAUGCAGGAGUAUUGCACCACGUUUGUCACUAGUUAUUUUGAAGUAGAUGGUGCCAACCUUUGAGGAUAUAUUUUCUAGUAGGUGAUACUUAGGAGGGGUUAGUCUAUAUUAUUUUAUUAGUAACACUAAGAAAAUCUUUGUACAAAUAUUAGUCAACAAAAAUAUAUUUGUAAGUUUAAGUAAGUUUAAGAUUAAGGAUGAAGCCCAUAAUUAUCUUGAGCUGUUGUGUUAUAAAAUAAAUGGUUAAUUGUAUGAUAUCUUUGAAAUAUGAAUGAUUUUUGAUUUAUCUCUUGAAUUUUUUUUUUGAUUUCUCUUUAUAAUAUAAAGAUUUUGUUGCUUUGAUCGCUUAGAUGAUAACUUGGUAACGAAUCUUCAUUUUUACUGACGUGAUCUGUGUAGAUAAUUUUUUUUAAUUAUUUGUUUUAUUUUGUAAAAUUCACUUGGGAGUAAACCAAUAAACCAAUACUAUGAUAAAACAAAGCAACUUUUUUAUUAAAUUAUUAUUAUUAUUAUUGCAAAAAAAAACUAUUAAAUAUAUAAUUGCAGAUAAUAAAAAUUAUUGCAAAACAAACUAUAUAUUAGUCCUAGCUCAACUCUCUCUUGAAUAAGACAAACACAAACAUUCUUGAAUAUUUCUAUAUGAGACACUCAAUAUUAUGAGUAUUUUGUCAAAGGAAAACAAUUAACUUCAGCACUAGAAGGAUCAAUAUGGUCUUUGAGUUUUGAGUUCUCAAGGAUUGUUGGCUGAAGAAAAAAAACCUUUUUGAAUGGGGACAAAUAUUGAGCAGUUAAGAGAUUAUGAUUAAAUAAUUUAGGGAUUAAGUGACAACAUAUAAUAGUGAUGCCAAUUAAUAAAGUCAAAAAAGGAGUAUAAAAAGUCCAAAUUUAGCCCCAUCCUUACCAUAUGUUAUUCUUUUUACGAUUUUUUUAGUUUACAAUUAUUUUCCAUUAAAAUCACUAACUAAAACCUUUUUUUUCAACUUAUAAUAUUUUAAAUUAAAUUAAAAAGAAAUACCUUCGGUCAAUGUGAUUAAUACUAUUAAAAAAAAAACUCCAUCAUAUUAUGAUAUGGUAUACUUGAAAAAUCACCCAUCAUCACACCUUAACAAAAUGGUCUAACAUAACACAUGAAUAUGACCGUAUGUUUAUGGGGUGAAGAUGUUGUAUAUUUCAAGGAUUUGAGUUACCAAAUAGUUUAUGGGGUAAAGAUGUUCCUACAACACCUUACCGGAUCAACAAAUGUAUAUCCAUAUGAAUUGACUUCAUGAUAACCAUGGAGGUUUGGAAUGAGAAAUCGAUAGACUACUCUACUUUGAAGGUAAUUAAAGCUUUUACAUUUGCACAUAUCAAGCAAGACAAGGCUAAUGUUAGUGUUGUGAAAUAUGUCUUUAAUGGUUAUUCUGAAAGUGUGAAGAGUUACAAACCAUGGAAGAUGGAGCUUGGAGGAUAAGAAAAUUUCGUAAGUAGGAGUGGUAAUUUUAUGAGACCCAUAUGAGGAUAAAAUGAAAAGAAUUGAAGUGAAAGAGACAUAAACUAUGGUGGAUAGGACUUAGUUUGAGAUAAAUGUUUCUACUAGUGAGACUAGAGAUGAGGAGGAAGUCGAUGCUUCCACUUAUAGUUCUAAUGAGGGGAAACCUACAAUGACUCUUAAUUAUCAGCUAGUUCGUGAUAUAAGGAGAUUGUACCACCUCAACGAUACAUUUAUGUUGAUCUUAUUUGUUAUACUUAGAAAGUAAAUGAAGGGUUGCAAGACAUAUAACUAAGAAUCUUCGGGGAGACAUCUAAAUUAAAGAUAACAAAAAAUGGUUGAAGAUGGUGAAUGAUGAGAUCCAUUCACCGAGAUAAAGAACCAUAUUUGGGAGCUUAAGAGAGUACCUAAAAAACAAAUGGUUGUUGUAUGCACGUGAACUUCAAGAAGAAAUAAAAUAUUCAAGGGAUUGAAGAACCAAGGUUUAAGGUAAUACAUGUAGCAAAGAUAUUUACUUAAGUGUAGGAGAUUGAUUAUAGUGAAAUUUUUUCAACCGUGGUAACAUAAUUUUCUAUAGUGGUACUCAUGGCGAUUGUGAGCGAAUAUGAUAUUAAGUUGGAACAUAUGGAUAUCAAAAUAAUUUUCUUACAUGUAGACCUUGAAGAAGCAAUUUCAUGAAGAAACCUCAAGGUUUUAUAGUGGAAAAGUUUAAGGUGUGUUUAAUGAAGAAAUCCAUGUAUGGUUUGAAAGAAAUCUCAAGGUAAUAUUAUCAUCACUUUGAUAAAUUUCUUCUUAAAUAUGGUUUUUAUGAGAAGUGGUUAUGAUAAUUUUGUAUACAUAUUGAAGAGGAAUGAGGCAGUCAUCCUUCCCCUACUUAUAUAUGUUGAUGAUAUCUUAAUGGAAAACUCUAGAAAGGAAGAGAUCAGUAAGACCAUGGAGAUUUUGAAUGGAUAAUUUAAGAUGAAAGAUCUUGGUGAAGUUAAGAGGAUCCUAUGGAUGAAUAUCACGAGAAAUCAUAAAAAGGCGUGAUUGUUCUUAUCUUAAUAUGAUUACUUGAAGAAAAUGAUGGAUUGAUUUAGAAUGUAAAAUGCUAAAACCGUCAAUAUUCAUUUGAAUUAUCACACGAAGCAUUUGGUUAUGCAAUAUUCUUAAACCAAAGAAGAAUAUAAGACAAGGGAGAAUACUCCCAUGCACUGAGGUUGGAAACAUCAUGUAUGAUAUAGUUUGUAGCAUAUCAGACUUAGCAUAUGCAAAUAGUUUGAAGUGGGUUAUGAGGUACUUGAAUGGUUCAUUAAAGGAUGAUUUGAAAUACAAACAGACAACUUAAGAGGAAGAAACUUCAGAUGGUUUUAUGGAUGCAAACUAUGCGGGAAAUAUGGACACUAGAAAAUCCUUAUCGGGGUUUGUAUUUAUGUUGUUUGGUAUAACUAUAAGUUGGAAGAAAAAUCAAUCAUUGUUAGUCGCAUUAUCUACUACUCAAGCGGAAAAUAUUGCCUUUUAUGAAUGGUUGAAAGGCAUAAUUGAGAAGUUAUGGAUCAAUCAAGAAUGUGUGAAGAUACAUUGUGAUAGUCAAAGUUCCAUUCACUCGGAAAAUCAUCAAGUGUAUAAUGAGGAUACAAAGCACAUUGACAAUCGUUUUCACUUCAUAACAGAGAUGAUCGAGUUGAAGGAGAUUGUGGUUCAGAAGAUGGCUUCAGAAGAUAAUUUGAAAAUAUUUUGAGAGAGCAAUAAGGUGAAUGAUGGAUAAAUUGACAUCACCAUCGAUUUCAAAGUCAAGGUGGAGAACUGUGGAGAUUGAAUAAAAAAGCCUUAUGAAUGAGUUUGUGAGAAUGUAACGUAUUUGCAAAAACACAUUGUAUUUGGAAAAGACGCAAUGCCUCCUUCUUUUGCACAGAAUGCAAUGUGUUUCACCUGACACUUAUAAAACGCAUUUCAACCCUUUUUUUAGAUACGAGAGUGAAAAUGAGUAUUCUCUAGAGAUUGAAACUUAGAGAGACAAAUGAAGGGAUUAUUAAGAUUCCCUGUUCUAAGAAUUAUAAGAUCUUUGGAAUAUCUAAGAGAAUCGGAAAACACUUCUAAACACCUUAAAUUUGUUUGAUUCAUAUAUUAAAUAAAUAAGAUAUAUAUUAAGAAACACUUGAGUAGAAAAUAUAUGAUGUUUUUAUAAUUAUGAAAAAUUAUUUUCUUGUAGCUUAUCUUGUAAUCUUGUAUAAUAACUCUUGAGUUAUAGUAGAUUAGAAAGUUGUUCUCUCCCAUAAUAGAUCGGUUUGAUCAAACUGGAUAAACUAAUUUUGUGUGUGUGUGUGUAUGUUUUUUUCUUCUUCUUAUUCUUAUGGAUUUGCUUACACCUUGUGACAAAUUAAUUAUGUUCGAAGUCUUUUAAAUAAUUGUCAUUGUUUUUGUCUCACGUAUCAUUAUUCUUGUUGUGUUUGACCUUUGAUAUUUUAAUUUCACAACAUAUAUCAACAAAAUAAACCAUUUUUUUUAAAAAUAACCACCAUUUUCAAAAUUAAUUCCAAAAUAACAACUUUUUCAAAAUUUUCCCCAAAAUAACCACCUUUAAAAAAAGACGCGUCAGAUGAACUGGCGCAUCCGUCUUGCAUCAAGAGGAGGCGUCUGCAUUGGAAGCCUCAUGAGGAGGCGCCAAUGCCUAUAGCGUUUGCAUUGUGCCUCAUGAGGAGGCGCCAAUUCCUAUGGCGCCUGCAUGUCUUGACAUGUUAGGCGCCUACCCUCUUGGCGCAUACAUUUUAUAUCUCCUCACUAUAAAUACCUCGCCCUGUAUGCAAUAUUUUUCACAGAAAAUCUUCCCCUACUACCAUAUUUUCUUUCAUUCAACUCCAUUCUCCUUCAAGUUUUUGAGUUUUAACCAUGUCUGAAUACAUUCACAAGCGAAAUUCCAAUUUAAUAUUUUCCACUGUUACGUCUCCGAUAAAGAUUCGACUCUGGAAUAUAGAUUCGUUUGGACGUCUUAAUCGGACGUUGAACAGUUGGUUAGAUGGAGAAAUUAACCUUAUCGAGAAAAGAAGAAAUGUUGACACCGUUGGGGAUAACGUUCCAAAGUUAACCUUAUUGGAAUAGGAAAAGAAAUGGCUAAACAUAACCGGUGUUUAAGACUCACGCUGGAGGCCCCCCUAAAGUUAACCUUAUCGAGAAAAGAAGAAAUGGAGAAACACUGUCGGGGAGAAGGUUCCAAAGUUAACCUUAUUGGAACAAGAAAGAAGCGAAAAAUGGGUUAUAGCCACAGGACUCAAUCUAAAGCGGAUGGACGCUUUUGAGUACCAGUUUAAGAUCUACGGGGGAUUUGUCGAACACGAGGGUUCAGGUUUAAGAAGUGUGGGAGAUAAAAUGAUAGUUGACAAACUACUGGGAGAGAAGGACUAAGCAUAAAUCUUAGACCUAAAGAUAGUAUUGCUAAAACUCUAGUUUAGGCUCACAGUGGAGGUAUGAGGGGAUACAUAACAGGGUCUUGGCUUGCUGAGAAGGUGAACACUGAACACCAAGUUGGUUGGUUAGAUGGAGAAAUUGGAGAUGGUGAAAGGAUUAGAAGAAUCCAAUGGCUUGUAUCCACGUUCAACUAAAAUGGAGAAGUGCGUGAAUGAGUGGAUAUCAAGACUGACCGAGACGUUCAUAGGAUGAUGCAUUACAUGUUCAAAAUUGUUUUGAUGGUUGUAAUCACAUAGUUCUUAUAUUGCAGUUGUUUUAAUUGUUUGUGUUAUUGUUUAUGUAAUGGUAUUUUCCUCAUAAACUUAUAAUAUGAAAUAAAUUUAGUUUUUCAUAUAUUGCAAUAGAGGUACAUGUGAAUUUAUCUGGUUGUGCUCGUUCCAACACUAGGACAAUUAGUACGAUUGUGACCUGGCUGAAGGCAAGAACUACAUAAUCUAACCAUUUUGUUCGCCGUAUCCAUUUUGGUUCGAAUUCGGGUGCUGUUUGGGCGACCCUUUUUCUUUCUUCGCAUAACUUCGUUGUGCUAGAUGAUGCCCCCUUAAUAUUCUGGCCAGUAAUCCUCUUUUGCUACUACGGAAAAACUAAUUUUAUAAACAUUUGAUAGGCUGAUGACUUUGUAAACUUCAGAUAACAAGUAGGAUGGAUCCCUUCGAACCUUUGAACAUGCCGCAAUGACAUGGGAGCAGGGCCCAGAUUGCAACACUGAACUCCAUUUGGAACAUCUGGUCUCAAAUAUCGUCCCUAGCAUGAAAUAUGUUGCAUGCACCAAAGAGGCUAUAUGUAGGUUACAAAUGCCUUUGAAGACAAAGUUCAUUGAUUCCACAAGAUUUGUUAUCAUGUGGCCCCAACCUUGACCGUUGUCGUAUGCCCUAGUCCACUUCUCCAAUGGAAUACUGUUGAUCCACCAUAUUGCAUCAAUGUUUGACAAUCUUAUUUCUUCGCGGUAGUGUUUGAAAGAAGGUUCUGAUAAUGCGUAACCUGCAUUGACAACCUUCUUCCGCAACGUCUUGUCUUUGAUUUCCCGCAUGAAAUUCUGAGCAAUAUGUCUAAUACAGAAGACAUGUGUCGAAGGAGGAUCUUGCCAGCCAUUAUCAAUGUUAUUAUAUGCAUUGAUGAUUGAAGGGUGUCUAUCGGAGAUCAAACAUAAGUUAGGCUGCGGUGCAACGUGCAAUCGGAGAUUUCUUAGGAAAAAACUCUAUCCCUUAACAGUCUCCCCUUCAACAAGGGCAAAUGAGAUUGGAAAAAUGUUGUUGUUGCCAUCUUGUGCCACUGCCAUCAGUAACGUUCCUUUGUAUUUCCCGUACAACCAUGUACCAUAAAUUUGUAUAAUAAGUUUACAGAAAGAAAAACCUAUGAUGCAUGGUUGAUACGCCCAGAAGAGAUGGUGGAAUAUUCCAUUUCCAAUAGCACACGUCCCGUCUUGUCUAUACGCGGGCAACGUUUCCAACUUGACCAUACUCUUUCUCUGCAACACUCUUUCUUUACCACACUCUUUCUUUGCAACACUCAAAUUAUGUCUCUGUUGACUAUGGGUGAUGAACACAGAGAAACACUCGAGAAUAUCUCAACAUUUCUAUGUUAUCUGUAACACCCCGAUUAAAAUAAGAGAAUUAUUUAAUUGAGUUAAUAUUAUUUUAUUAAUUUAAUUAAAUAAAGUUGAAUUAUUGGAUUAUUUUUAUUAUUACUAUAGAUGUUAUUUAUUUUGAUAAUAAUUAAAUAAAUAAAAUAAAGGGAAUAUGAAGAGUGGAAGGGUAAAGUGGAAAUUGGAUAAAAGAGGCCAAAGUGAGGACUCAGGUUGUUUUCACGUGUUUUGCCUCAGAGUCAGAGAAAGGGGGGAGAAACGCUGAGAGAAGAGAAGGAAGAGGAAAAGGCCAAAGAUUGCUCAGAGCUUCCUUCAUCCAAAGAGGUAAGGGGUCUGAACGUUAUUAAACAAUAAUAUGCUGAAAAUGGUGAAAUAUUGGAUGAACGAAAAUGGGGAUUUUAUCGAAGGAAUUCGUAGAAAUUAUAUGCAAUGAUGUUAGGAUUUGUGAAAUCGAAUAGGGGACUAAUUGUAUUAGAUGAUAUGAAUGAUUUUGUGUGAAUUUGGACUGUGGAAGGAUGAAUUUGGAUAGAUCUCGUAGCAGAAAAAGCCAUUGCAGAUCUGGAAAUCUGGUUUCUGGUCAUACGACGUAUGGACUAGGCAAUACGGCUAUGAGAUUGCUGGUACGCGUAUGGCACUAGGCAUACGCGUAUGGAUGGGAAGAUGAUGUUUGAACGUGUUUUGGCUCUGUUGGUACGCGUAUGGGAAUUGUGUACGCGUAGCAUACGCGUAUGGAUAUGGGCAAUACGCGUAUGGAUUUGUCAGACGUGGGCAAUAGCGUAUGGGCAUAGCAAUACGCGUAUGGGCAGACUUGUGGUCUUUCCUGGGCUGUUGUGUGCAGUUUUUGGUUGUUUAGGCUGAGCGAGGUAACUUAGCUGAUGCAUAGUAUACGAGGGAUCAUUUCCCGUUGCUUUGAGUGGUAUAGAUAUUAGUAGAGUGUGAUAAUACUGUGUUUUGAUUAUGUGGCAUGAUGUGAUAUGCUUUUGUGAUAGAAGAUGUUAAUGAUGAUGAUAACAUGACUAUAUGAUGCUGUUGUUGCUGCUGUUGAUUAUGAUGCAUGCUUGUGUGCAGCAUUCAUGAAAGGCCGAUGCCUAGUGAUGAACGGACUGAGUUCCAAUGUAUGUUUGUUGACUCCGGGCUUGUUGAGAGGCUUGGUUCCUUGCGGGGAACUCGGAUUCUAUGGUGAUGAAUCUGGGAGUGGUGAUCUGUAGUUUGGUCACAAAAAUGGUAUACCGAGUCGUGUUGAGUCAUGCAUGGGUGUGUGCAUUGCAUUUGAUAUGUUGUUUUGUUGAUGUUCAUGGUUAUGUUGAUUAUGAUGAUUAUGACUGAGCUGUGUUGGCAUAUGUGAAGUAUAUUUAUGUUUAUAUUUCUGUCGUUAUAUUAUUAUUUAAUAAUGUAAUUCUCACCCCUUCUGCAUGUGUUUAUGUUCAUCUAUGAUGAGCAAUGUGACGAUAAAGAGGAGUAAGCUAUUGUUGAGGUUUGAAGAAUAAGUGUAGAGUUAUUCUACGGAGUCGAGUCAAAUGCUCUUGGUCAUGUGACACCGGGGUUAUGGGAUUCGAUAGAUAAUUGAUUAUUAUUUACGUUGUUUAUGAUGACUAACAUGUUGAGAUGUUUGUUGAGAUAAUGUUGAACCAAUUAUUAUGAAUUGUUAUAUGAUGAAUGUAAUAUUAAUGUUGUUGUCCGCUGCGAAGUUUUAAUAAAAUAAAUAAUAUGUUUUAUGUUGUGAUGCGAUAAGUGUUAUGUUGUAAGAAAUGUAAACUCUUCUACAUGUUGUACUCUGAUAAUCUAUUUAAAUAUGUCGUUUGGGUAGAAGGGUGUUACANCAACUCAGAUACAUUCAACUUCUCAAAUCGCUAACCUUACUACAUCUAAUUCCUACAAUUUCAUCAAUUAUCAUCCAAUUUCGUUCAUCAAUAUUUCACAAAUUCAUCACAUAUCAUUUCAAUCAGAGUCAAAUUCAGAGGUUCAUCACUACCCAUUACAUGCUAUCCCAUAAGACCCAUCAAACGAUGAUAAACCCCCUUACCUGAGUUAAUCCGGCAAUUCCGUUAGCUUCAAGCUUUUCCUCUUCUCUUGCUCUGCCUCUUUGCCCUUUCCCUUUCAGCCGCUUCUCUUUUUUCUUUUUCACGUGAAAACCCUUUUCCAAAAAUUAGGACUUUUUAUUAUUCCAACUUAUAUACUCAAAUAAUAAAACCCAAUAAUAUUAUCCCAAUAAUAAUAUUAAUAAUCCAAUAAUUUUCUAAUUAUUUAAUUAAAUUAAUAAAUAAAAUAUUAACUUAAUUUAAACAAUUAUCUUAAUUUCAUCGGGGUGUUACACCAUGGGCAUUGACGACUCCUCAUGAGGCUUCCAAUGCAGGCGCCAAGGCCUAAAGCGCCUCCUCAUGAGGCUUCUAAUGCAGGCGCCAAGGCCUAAAGCGCCUCCUCUUGGUUCAAGACGCAUGCGCCAGUUCAUCUGACACAUCUUUUUUUAAAGGUGGUUAUUUUAAAAAAGAAAAUGAAAAAAAUAUUAUUUUGGAAUUAAUUUUGAAAAUGGUAGUUAUUUAAAAAAAAAUUCAAAUAAACAAACUUAGUCCUUUAAAAGAACCCAUAUUUGGUCAAUUUUUAGAAAAAUAGUCGAUGGUAUUAUUCUAAUUGAUGGUAUUAUCCCAUGUUAUUUGUUGUAACAUUUUUUAGAGCUAUUUGUCUCCUUUUUAAUAAUGCCUUGAAGAUGGCAACUUCACAUAUUCUGUCACAUAUAUGAUCACAUAAACAUCAAAGAAGAAAAGAAUGAUACCAAUAGUUCUCCCUUAGACAUGCUCAUUGUUCUUUGAAAAUGUUCUUUCUCCCACUCUUGCACCUAUGCAUGGGACCCAAUUCAGAAUCCACAACAUAUAAAUAGCUAUGCAUUAGACAUCAACUUAGAGAAACAACCAUAUUUUUAAUCCCAUGGCUUCUGCAUCAGGCUUGGACCGCACGGAAUCGAUAAAAGAUAACAUGUCAUCCGACGAAUCGAAGCAAAGUAGGUACCAUAUGAAGAGGUGCUUUGCCAAGUACCUUGAAAAGGGUAGAAGGAUCAUAAAAGUUCAUGACUUAAUGGAAGAAAUGGAGCAAGUUAUAAAUGACCAGAAAGAUAAGAAUCAAAUUCUGGAAGGAAAUCUCGGCUUCCUAUUAAGCUGUACACAGGUUAAGUUUUUCCUAAUUAGUUUACAUAAUGUGCUAUUUAAUAUGACAGAAGGUGUAAUAAUAAUGUUAUAAUGUGACACAUUGCAGGAAGCUAUUGUUGAUCCACCAUAUGUUGCUUUUGCUGUAAGGCAAGAUCCUGGUGUUUGGGAAUAUGUUAAAGUGAGCUCUGAGAAUCUUUCGGUUGAACCUAUAACGUCCACCGAUUACCUCAGAUUUAAGGAAAGAAUAUACGAUGAAAAAUGGUACGCUACAUUUCAUUUCACUUAUACUUUUAUAUUCUAAAGCUUUCAACAUGUAACGAGUUUUAAUGGUUAACUUGGUUCUAUGUUGUAGGGCGAACAAUGAAAACGCGUUGGAAGCAGAUUUUGGAGCAUUUGAUUUUCCUAUUCCUAACUUAACCUUGCCUACUUCAAUUGGAAAUGGACUGCAUUUUGUUUCGAAGUUCUUAACUUCGCGGUUUAGUGGCAAAUUGGCGAAAACACAACCUAUAUACGACUACUUGUUAUCGUUAAAUCAUCAAGGAGAAGUAAAUACAUACGAUAACUUCAUUUUAAUAUUUCACACAUACCAGUUUUAGAAACAAGUGAUCGAACCAGAGAGACCUGAGUUGAACCAACUGUGGUUCAAAUCCGUUCAACUCUGGUUCGAUCAGAUUCAACUAGUCCAUUCAUGGUUCAGUCGUUCAACUUUGUAAUGUGAUUUUGGUUAUUCAUCGUUCUUUCUGUCGUCUAAACUGACAGAGUCUAAUGAUAAACGAUACGUUGAGCUCAGUUGCAAAGCUGCAGAUGGCACUAACAGUGGCUGAUGCAUUCCUGUCAGCACUUCCAUUCGAUACUCCCUAUCAUGAUUUUGAACCAAGGUAAACAAAGCUCUUUAUACUGUUAAAUUGAGCGCUAUAUAUCUUUGUGAUUCGCUAAUUUAAUACGAUUUUCGUUCAUAGGUUUAAGCAGUGGGGUUUUGAAAGAGGAUGGGGAGAUUCUGCAGGAAGAGUGAAGGAUACAAUGAGAGCUUUGUCAGAAAUACUCCAGGCUCCAGACCCGAUAAACAUGGAAAAGUUUUUCAAUCGAGUUCCUACGAUAUUCAAUGUCGUGAUCUUCUCUAUUCAUGGCUAUUUUGGUCAAGCUGAUGUUCUUGGCUUGCCAGAUACCGGGGGACAGGUAGCAUUUCUAAACUCGAGAGUAGUCGCGUUACUUUUAGACGAGGCAAAACUGAUUUCAAAACUUCUUCUACAAUCUUGAAUAGGUAGUUUACAUAUUGGAUCAAGUGAGAGCUUUGGAAGCAGAAAUGCUACUUAGAAUUAAGCACCAAGGCUUAAAAGUGAAGCCUCAAAUUCUUGUGGUAUGUUUCAUGCAAAAGAAUCAUGAUUCUCUACAUAUUAUAAUAACUUAUAUAUAAAAGUGUUUGUUAUUAACAAUGAUAGGUCACAAGGCUCAUACCUGAUGCACAAGGAACCAAAUGCAAUCAGGAAUUGGAAACAAUCAUCGAUACUCAACACUCGAAAAUUCUACGCGUGCCUUUUCAGACAGAUAAAGGAGUUCUGCGUCAAUGGGUUUCUCGCUUCGACAUUUAUCCUUAUCUUGAGAGGUUUACUCAGGUAUGCAUAUUUUCUAUAAAAGUUUUUCAGAACCCAAAACAUUUUUCUGUUACGAGUUUUCCGUUUGACUAGUUGUUUGGUUCAUGUUAUAGGAUGCGACGACUAAGAUUCUCAACAUCUUGGAAGGAAAACCGGAUCUUGUUAUAGGAAAUUACACAGAUGGGAAUUUGGCAGCUUCUCUUAUGGCUAGCAAACUUAAGAUAACUCAGGUCACUAUUGGAAUUUUAUUUCCUAUGAUUCAAUUACAUUUUUUUGUGACUUUUAAGGAUGUUUUUUUUCCUUCAUGAAAUAAUAAAUGAGGUUGCUUGAAAACCAGGGAACUAUAGCACAUGCUUUAGAGAAAACUAAGUAUGAAGAUUCAGAUGUCAAGUGGAAAGAAUUAGACCCUAAGUAUCACUUCUCGUGUCAAUUCAUGGCCGAUACAAUCGCAAUGAAUGCAUCGGAUUUCAUCAUAACUAGCACAUAUCAGGAAAUCGCCGGAAGGUUAGCUCUCAAAGAUGAACACCAGACACGACACAGACACGUCGACACUGAUGAUAAUUUGAAAAAUGGAAGAAACUAUGAAAGGCGUGUAACGUAACAUACUGAAUUCUUAGUGUUUCUUUGCAGCAAAGAUAAACCAGGACAAUAUGAAAGUCAUGCAACAUUUACACUCCCGGGGCUAUGCAGAGUUGUUUCGGGGAUAAAUAUAUUCGAUCCGAAGUUCAACAUAGCUGCACCUGGAGCCGACCAAACCGUCUAUUUUCCUUACACGGAGAAAGACAAAAGACUCACUGAAUUUCAUCCUGCCAUUGAAGACUUACUAUAUAGUAAAGUGGAUAACAAAGAUCAUAUGUAAGUGAAAAUGUUGCGGUUCAUUUGUCUACAAUAUUUUACAAAAUGAUUAAUUUUCGAUAAAAUUAUUGUUAUGGAAACAGUGGAUAUCUAGAAAACAAAAGACAACCUAUUAUCUUCUCGAUGGCGAGGCUCGAUGUUGUAAAGAACAUAACUGGUUUAGUCGAAUGGUAUGGAAAGAACAAGAGAUUGAGAAGCCUAGUGAACCUUGUCAUAGUUGGAGGAUUCUUUGAUCCGUUGAAAUCAAAAGAUCGAGAAGAAAUGGCAGAAAUAACAAAAAUGCACGAUUUAAUCGAAAAGUACCAGCUGAAGGGUCAAUUUAGAUGGAUUGUUGCGCAGACCGAUAGACAUCGCAACGGAGAGCUUUAUCGCUUCAUUGCAGACACAAAGGGAGCUUUUGUGCAGCCUGCAUUGUAUGAAGCAUUCGGUCUAACUGUCAUUGAAGCAAUGAACUGUGGUUUGCCUACUUUCGCUACUAACCAUGGAGGUCCAGCAGAAAUUAUCGUCGACAGCGUUUCCGGUUUCCAUAUUGAUCCUCUCAACGGAGACAAAUCGAGCAAUAAAAUAGCCGAUUUCUUCGAAAAAUGUAAAGUGGAUUCCACACAUUGGAACAUGAUUUCUGCAGCCGGAUUGCAGCGCAUUAAUGAACGGUACGCAAAAAAAAAACACCAAUUUCCUAGCUCUCGAUUAUUUAACAUUUGCAAGAAUGAAUCAAGAUUGCAUGGUUUGUUUUGCAGCUAUACAUGGAAGAUUUAUGCAAACAAGUUGUUGAAUAUGGGAAGCAUUUAUACAUUUUGGAGGACAGUGAAUAAUGAUCCGAAAAAAGCGAAGCAAAGAUACAUUUGGAUGUUCUAUAACCUUAUGUUUAAGAAUUUGGUAAGUACUAUAUCUGUUCUAAGAGAUGAACCUCAACAACCAGUGUCCAAUUCCAAGCAGCAAAGUCUCAAAAAACAAGGAACAAGCAGGUAUAUCAUCCAAUCAAUAAAGAAAUUUCGACAAAAUAAAAUCGAAAGUUACUAAAAUAUCGAUUUUGUUUCACUAGACAAUUUUCUCUAAGAGAAGUAUUUGCAUUUACGAAUACAAUUUUUAAUGCCGCUUGUUUUGCUGCUGCAGGCGUUCGAAGUCCAAAUUGCAGAGUUAAGAUCUAACUAUAAGAGUUAAUGUAACUUAUUUUCGGAUGCGCAACAACUAAUUGGGAAAAUCUUGCUCACGCCGUGAAGUCGUCAUUACAAAUAAAUUGUGUAUUUCUUGCAAAAUGACUAAUGUUUCUAUGUUAUCAAUAAAAUGCUUUGAAGUGAUUUAUAAUGGAGGAAAAUCGAACUUAAAGAUUAGUGUAAAAAGCUAUAGAUACUUGUUGUUUAAGGAUAAAUCAUCCACAUGGUACUAUUGUAGGAUCCAAUGUUGAGGAUGUUUCUCUGUCACACAUUUCAGGACCAAUAUUUAUAGGUGUUUCACCCUGCAAGAUUGACAUGAACAACUUAGUCGGUAGGAAAUACGAAUAAAAAAACAUCGAUUUCUUUAUAUUUUUGCAAUGGAAAACAUACCUUAACAAUGUUCCUAAAAUAAGUAAUGUUGUAAUUUCCGGUUGGAAAUAAAACUUCAAUAAGAUCUGCUAAUACCAGUUGAGGUUGCGAGACUGCUCCGUUGUACCAGUCUUAACAUGCAGAAAAUCACACAAAAAUUGAGCAUUUUCACUAGAAAAUCAUGAAAAGAUAGUGUCUUUCAACAUUGAGACGUACCGAGAGACGAAGUUUGAAUCCGUUUGUCAUAUCUCCAUAGGCUUGUGUUUGAUAGAAAUGAAAAACAAGAACGGUCUUCAAUGUUUAGAUUUUGGAUAAACGUCGAUAACGUGUAGUUGAGUGGAUCAGAAGUUAAUGUUUCAUCAAUCACUACUUCCACAGUCUACAUCAUCAGAAAAACUAACUGUUAACAAAUUCGAUACUACUAUUAACUUUCUUAAUCUGCGUGAUUUAUUCGAAACGAGUAUUAUAUUUUGAACUCACACAUAGGAUUGCAUGCAAUUCUUCUAAGUCAUCAGAAUCAGAAACAUUGUAAGUAUUCUUGUUGGCAUCCAAAAUCUCUCCUCCGGAAUCUUCGACAUACUGUUUGCGAUUUUUUGAAUCAAAACAUAGAUAAAGACCAGAAUAACAUAUUUCUCUAACAGAUAGUUAUGGUUUCAUACCUUCAAAUAAUAUGCUUCCUUUGUAAAAGACCAAACACCCUGCAAAGUUACAUGAUACUAAGUUAUAACUCAUUUUGUUUCGAUAAGCAAAAGCCGAAAAACUGAAGAGGAUACAUACAUUGUUAUAUUUCAUCCAUGCUACAGUUGGCUUGAAUGAAGUUCGAGAUUUUGCGAUUUCAGCCAAGCACAAAUAGUUCUCCUUAACCUAAACAAUAACAAGCCAUUUCUUAGUAACAUAAACUACAAAAUCUCGAUAUAGCGGUUAUAUAGUUAAUAGUUACGCCGUUGAGUGAUCGGUGUUCUUACUGCAGUAUAGACUUGAUUGGCUCUAGCUUCAACAUUUGCAAAAGCUCCCAUGAACUUAAUCCAUUCUGCUCUCUGUCAAAGUGAAUGCAUCUUACAUAAGUUAUCUAAGCAUGUUCUUAGGACCUGUUUGGAUCGACUUAUUUAUAUAGAGACUAAAAUUAAGUUGCUUACCUGCAAAGGGGUAUCCUCGGAAAAAGGAACCGUAGUUGCGAAAUUGCAAGCUGAAUGUUGAUCAGCGUCACUAAAGAAGUGUGCAGAAAACUGCGAAAUCAUUUGAUAAUCACUUUUGUUCAACAUUUCAAUCUGUCCUUCUUUAUACAAUUUCAACACACACGGUGAAGCCACAGUGUCCGACGUUACGCCUUUCAAGCUCUCUAGUAAGCCUAAAUGCUGCUCAAAACAACAAUUUUGAAGAAACAUAAGAACUAACAAACAGUUUCAGGUUUGAGCUAAGGGUCGAAUUGAAUCGAAGCGAAACGAAAAAAAAUACAAACAUAACAACAAUUUAUAGUAACAUCUAAACUUUCACUAGUAGCAGUUCUCACCUCUAAGAAGGAAACUUGAGUUCCAAUUCACAGAUCGAAACAUGAAAAAAGGAAAAUGUUAGUCACAACAAAGGUGAAAGAAAUAAUUACUGUAACAAAUAAGUACAAGGGUUGCAGAGGACUCUAAUAACACAUUCUUAAGGCUAAGAUCAAACAAAUCACAAAAACUGAAAUGCAAAAUCACUAGUUUUAGCAUCAUAUACCAGGAAAAGAAUCUGUAUCAACAGAAAAAUUCGACAACGGUAUCACGAAUGAUUUGAUUCUUGAAGUGCAGUACUUCGUCCUUGAUGCAAUCCUUGAGUUAUUCUACCAAUCAAAGGAAUUCAUGGAUGAAAUUUCAGCAAUCUUUUACAAAAACAAAAAAAACUAGCGAAAAAAGUACCUGAAGAAGAAGAUAGCUCUGGCCAUCAACAGCAUUCUUAAUAACCUUGAAGGUUUGGCCAUAGUAAAUAUGAAAAUUCACAGCAUCUUCCACCUUUGAAAUAUUUCCAACUUUCACUGUACUGGAAGCUCCAUCAACACUUCCAUAGCUAAAAAACCAAACCAAUGCUAACAAAAAUAAAGCUUGAAACCAAAAACAAGCAGCUGAAUCCAUAACCAUAAGGUGAAGAAUAAGUUAUAAAAAAAAAAGUGAUAUAAAUUUAGCUCAUUCUUAUUAUUUUAAGAGACAUGAUUAAAAAGCUAAAUAGCUUUUUAAGCAAUUAUCUGCAGCUUAACUGCAGCAAUUAGUUAUAUCUGUGUGCAGCUUUUUGCUGAUAAAUGGAUUGAAAAACUAAAGUGAAAAAAUCACAAGAGUAUGAAUCAAUGAAUUGUUGGCAUGUAGCUAGGUGUAGCUAGUGGGGUGAGUAUAGUGUAUAGUUUUUUGUAUUAUUUAAUAUAAAUUUAACAAAAGAAGAUGAAACAGUGAGUGACCCGUGAAGCUAUGUUUGGAUUAUUUUUACUUUUUCAUGUCAUUUUUUUUCUGUUAAUUCAUAACUUGUUACAUCUUAUUGUUUUGUCAGUUUGUGUGAUUUGAUACUCUGAUGAAUGUGAGUGAUCCACUACUCAUCAUUAUACAUGUGCUGUGCACUCACCUUAGUUCAACCACUACUGCACAAUUCAAAUUCAUGAAGUGAAGAAAUUGUCAUAUGACAUGUUCAGAAAAAUUGAUUGCCAAAGGGAAAAAAAAUGCUAUCAUGUGAAUCUUGACAACAUCAAUAUCAAGAUGGAUGCUUAAAUUCAAUUUAUAUACAUUUUAUUUUACAGAUUUCUUACAUACUUGUACAAAACGAUUACAUAGAUUUCUGUUAAAAAAUUUGUGUAUAUUUUUCUUAGCCUUAAAAUAUCUUUUGUUGUAAAAUUUCAAGUUUUUUUUUUGUAAGGAUAGGAGUUUUCUAAUUAGAAAAAUUUAGAGCAAUAAAAGAGAAUAAUUACUAUGGAUUUAUCAUCUUAAGAAUUGAAAUAUCUUAAUAGGUUAUUUAAACGUUGAAAAACACUUUCAAAUGCAUUAAAAUUGAGUGAUUCAUGUAUUUAAAAGAAAGGGGAUUUUAAAAUUGAGUGAUUCGUGUAUUUAAAAGAGAAGAGACUUAGUCGCACACAUGUAUAAAGAGUUAAUUUGUGUAGCUAAUUUGUAAUGUCUUGUUGAGACUAUUGAUUGAUAGUGAACUAGAGAGUUUUAUGUUGAUUUGCCAUCACUCUUCUUUCAACUUUAUUGUCACUGGCAUCUACUAGGUGUACGCAACCAUCAACUAUAAUGUCCCAUAAAUCAACAUCGUGAUAUAGAAAAAAGCUCUCUAUUCUAUCAUUCUAAUAGUCAAAUCCAUCUCCAUAAAAAAACAGGAGCUUUAGCAUUGUAAUGAUCUUUAUCAUUUGUUUGAGCAACUGGUGGUGGGAGGGCUGUCAUUGUGUUUCACACUGGAUCUUUAUGUGACACUGUUAAGUAUUUGAUAUCUUAUCAAGAUCAGAACUGGAGCUCUAAUGCCAAUUGAAGGUGGCAAGAAACACAAGAAAGCGGGGUUUGAAUUGGGUUUCUAAAAAUAAAAGCUUUUUCAAAACCAACUCAAUCAAACAAAAACACGAACAAGAAAAAUAAAAAAGUUAUUUUUAUACUGUUCACUGUUAACGAAGCUACCUUCAGUCCACCCUACAAGUGGACUGUUAACGAAGCUAUCUUAUCAAGAUCAGAACUGGAGCUCUAAUGCCAAUUGAAGGUGCAAGAACACAAGAAAGCGGGUUUGAAUUGGGUUUCUAAAAAUAAAAGCUUUUUCAAAACCAACUCAAUCAACAAAAACACGAACAAGAAAAAUAAAAAGUUAUUUUAUACUGGUUCACUGUUAACGAAGCUACCUUCAGUCCACCCUACCAAAUGGACUGUUAACGAAGCUAUCUUAUCAAGAUCAGAACUGGAGCUCUAAUGCCAAUUGAAGGUGGCAAGAAACACAAGAAAGCGGGGUUUGAAUUGGGUUUCUAAAAAUAAAAGCUUUUUCAAAACCAACUCAAUCAAACAAAAACACGAACAAGAAAAAUAAAAAAGUUAUUUUUAUACUGGUUCACUGUUAACGAAGCUACCUUCAGUCCACCCUACCAAAGUGAUUUUGCCUUCUCAACAAGGAUUUAAUCCACUAUAACUGAAACUGAUUAUAGACACCACAAAGACAAACCGUCUUUGUCUUCUCGAGUCUAUCUGAUAAAACCUAAUCACUCAAACAACUUUGAGAUUUACAAGUGUGCAUUUACAAGUAUUGCUUCUAAGAAAGCAAAUUAACACAAGUUAAAUACAAUGAAUAUCUUCACACAAUAACCAACAAUAACUCUAGUGUGUUUACAAAGAUUAUACAAAGAAAAUAUAUAUUUUAGCAAAUAACGUGUGUAUAAGCAUAGUUUUUAGCAUAGUGAAUUAACAAUAUCUUCCAUUCUUCCAAGACUCCUUUAUACAGGUAGUUAAAAGAUUCGUUGGAGGGUGGAAUUGGAAUAGCAAAUUGUAGCUGUCUCUUUGUGUAACAAUUUACAUAUACGAGACAAAAUGGUACAAUAGUAUUGCCCUUAACCCACAAAAUCAGGGUAGUGAAGGAAAAUGUGACCUUGUAUUGUGUACUAUUUUCCUGACGCAAAAUCCAGUUGAUCUUAUCCUCUAAUCUUUAGAGAGUUCUGAUGAAAGGAUGUUGUAUCAUGUUUAAAAGGAUCAAGAGACAAGUUGACAGAAUCUUCAGAACCUCGAUCUUUAGAGUUUUGACACAGUUCCUCAGAACCUGGUCUUCAUAGUAUUCAAAUAUUGUUCUUUAGAAUCUUCGAAACUUGAGCGUAAGAUCUUGAAGGUAGACAAUCCUUUAGAGGCUCUUCAAUAAGAGUUAUAAUCAAAAGAUUUAGCACAAACGUUCAUCACAACCAUUGUCUAAGAUCUUUCUAGAACUUGAUAGCAUCUUGUAAAUCACUUGUAUCUCUUCAGAGUCAGAGUGUGUUGAUUCCAGAGUUUGAUGACGUCACACAUCAAUGCUUCAGAGUCAGAACCUAUUAGCAAAAGCUACACACUAGAUAAAAACCAUUAGUACACAAAAUUAUUCUCUAAGAAAUAAUGCAUUGUUAUCAUCAAAACUAAAGGCCAGAUGCAGAACCAAAUCUUGUUCUAACAAUCUCCCCCUUUUUGAUGAUGACAAAACCAUGUAUUUUGAUGAAUAAUUUUUUACUUGGUUUAAUCACAUAAAAAUAUUAGAGCAAGGUCUGUAAGCUCCCAAUGAAUUUUAUUCAAUAAAAAAUUAUUUUUUAGCUUAGAAUAUCAGAGUUAGGUUUGCAAGUUGCCCCCAAAUUUAAGACUGAAAAUAAUCUUAAUAAAUAUAAAAAUCUCAAUCAGCAUGAAAGAAAUAACUUCCCACAAGGCAGAAGCCUGGUGGUUACUAUCUUCCCAUAAGGAAGAAACCUGGUUACUAUCUUCCCAUUAAGGAAGAAACCCGAUUGUAAUGGUUGAAGUAACUUCCCAGAAUGCAGCAUCUUAGGUACAUAAGUAUUUCAUUCAGAGUCCUUGCUUGAGUGUCAGAAGGUCUGGUUAUCAGUCUCGUCACAGAGCAUGAUUUAUCAGAGCUUUCAUAGUUUGGUUUCACAACCUGGUUGUAUUACUCAUGUCUUGUUGUAGUUAUAAAUGUAUACAUCUGGUUCAUAGCUUGUAUGCACCUGUUUCAACUUGGUUCAAUAAGCACCUUGUUCAGAACGAGAAAAUGCAUAGUUCUUAAAACAUAAGUCUGGUUACUCUAAACUCAAUUCAGAUUGGUUAAUACCUUAGUACCUGAAACACUUGGUUAAUAAGAUGGACUUUUCAAAGUUCUCAGAAAGUUACCAAUGUCAGAAACAUAUAAACAUGUUUGGGUUUCAGAAUUGGAAUUAGAUAUAUCAAAAUCAAUAAUUAUUUCUCCCCUUUUGUCAUCAUUCAAAAAGAAAAUAAAUAUAAAGUAAACCAAAAUAAACUUCCAUUCCAUUAAAGAAGAGAAUUCAGAUACAUAAAUGGAAAACAAACAAAGACAAACACCACAAAGUUUUAAAAACUAGGGUUUAUGAGGGGGUGACAGUCUUGAUAAGAUCUCUCCAAGCAGCCCUUCUAUCUUUGAUGUCCUUUCUUUCACUUCAGAAUUCUCAGCCAUCAAAUGCUCCAAAGUCUUCAAAAUAUAUUCUUUAGAAACUAAAGUCUUCUUGACGCCAGAGCCACUUCCAACUUCAAGAGUAGGCUCAGAGGCAACCAUAGCAGACUGGACUGGAGAAGGAGGUGGAGUCACUUAUGGAGUAGUAAGUAGAAGCGUUAGAGGAACCUUCUGAAGCAGAGGUUCAACAAUACUAGAGAGUCUGACAUAGAAGUUCCUUUUAGAUUUCUUUAGGCAAGCAAACUCCAACUCUUCAGAGUUGACUUCUAUCCAACUUCUGAAGUGGUUGGUCAAAGCGCACACUUCAGAAAUGUUUAUGUUAGAAGAACAAGCCUCAUAGAGGGCGGGAAGUCUGCCAGCAGCCUCGCCUUUAAGAUGAGUAAACAAUUCAUCCGAUGGUGUAGGGUGAAUGUUGGAUUAAGAGGUUGUUUGGUCAGAGUAGGACUAAAGGGUUCUAUCUUGGAGGGCUAGGAGCUCAACUUCUGAAUCAGUAUCAGAAUCAAUGUUUGAUUCUGCAAUAGGGAUGUCAGAGUGAGUAAGCAUUCAUGGUUGAGGGUUUUCUGGUUGAAUAAGGUGGGAUAAGAGAAAAUGUGAUAAUAGUGGUUGAGUUGUUGGUGAGAUAGUGGAGGUUAGAAUUUUAGAAAUAGAUGGUAAGGGUGGUGGAAUGGUAAUAUUUGGAUUAGAGGGUUGGGGAAGCAGAAGUAUGAUUGGGGCCAGAAGUAAUUGGUUCCAGAACAUAAGGAAUAUUAUAAGGAAGAGUGGUUGAAGGGAGAGAGAAAACUUUUAAAGAGGUAUAUGGAAAGGAGAUAGGUGAAAGGGGUGUGGUUAUUGAAAUGGAUAAACUAUAAACAACAGUAAGACGACGAGCUUCAAAAGGAGCAGUCGUUCUAGAAGCAGUUCCAGUAGAAGUAGCUUCAGAGGUUAUGGGUUCUUCAAUAAAAGUACGUCGAUGCUCCCUAGAAGCCUUAAACUUCUUGGCCAUCCUUUUAGAAUGCUUCUUAACAGUCAUCCUCUUAUUCUUCUAAGAAAUAGAUUCAGAAGCUGUCAGAAUAGCAUCGGCAUGACACUUCUCCAGAAACUCUACCACCUCUUUUAGAGGAUAUUGAUUUGAGAGGAUAAGGAAAUCUUUUAAAGGAAUCCUUCUAUUGAGGAUGAUUUCCUUGGGAAAUUCAGCAGAAGGACUUAUCACUUAAGUAAUAAGCCCCAUAUUCUUCAGACUUUUGGCGUUCCGCAUCCUGCCAUCCAGAGGUUGCAUACCUUUGGAGAACUGAUCGUCUGUUAGAGAGUCAAUCAGUUGGCUCUCCAUCAAAAUGUAUGAGACCAACCUACCCAGAGGAAUGUAGCUCUUUGUCUUUCUGCUACCAUCUCAGGUGUCCCUCAUAGUAUCCCUUAGAUGUUGAAACAGAAGUGUAGGAAGAUUCACCUUCUUUUCAGUUUCAAUAUAAUAGAGGAUAUAUUAUUAACCACUGUUGAUGUAGUCGGAAGAGUUGGUUGCCGUUAUGUGAUGAACACAUCCCAGAAGAAUUUUAGUCCAAACCUUCAUAACUUAUUUGGUUAAACAAUCUGUCUUCUGGAUACUGAACAAUUUUUGCAUUUAAUAGUUGUCAAUCCGUCUAGUGGAACAAUUUUAAAGGCAAUUGUCUUAGAAAACUGAACUGCUGAUGUGACACAUUGGAUGAAUAAACCUCUUGGGAUUAGGUAAAACCUUCACACUUUACCCUCUUAUCAUAUUUUUGCACUAUUCAAGAUUUUUCUCAUGAUUGCAAAAACUCUUAUAUAAACCCAUUUCACACACUUUUGCUACAUCCACUCCCCACACUUUCUCUCUUUGAGACUAAAACUCUCUGCAACCCAAAACCCUUGUUCUUCUUCAAUGAUGGCUUCUCAACAACAAUCUGCUCAACAAGAACAAACUCAAAAAUAACGUGUUACAACUGCUCAAAGAACUGUUUGUGGUUCUUCUUCGUCAACACAACAACCACAACAAACCCAUAAUCUCCUUCAAGUCAGUUCUUCAAAAUUGGCUUCAGGAUCUCCUCGGUAUGUGUUCAAUGAAUAUUCUUAUGAUACUCAUGAACUCACAUUAUAUACUCCUAUCAAAGAUUUAGAAGUUCUCUGUGAAAUCUUGGUUGAGUUUGACAACAUGAAAGAUAAUGGAAUUGAUCUUUUACCUGCUGUAAAAUUUCAAGGCUGAGAAUAAUACUUUGACUGUCUUCAAGGUCCAAUUUUCUAUCAUCUGGUUAGAGAAUUAUGGAUCAUACCAAGACUUCACUUUUCCAGGUUACUUCUUUCGGUAUGGGAAAAAAGAUUGUCAUUAGUGAGAAACUUAUUGCCAAACUCAUUGGACAUGAUGAGUCUAGAAUAAGAUGCGAACAAAUGGUGGAAAGGGAAUCUAAUUUGGUUGAAAUUUUAAAAGUGAUCUUCACUUUUGGAAUUCACUCUAGCAAGAUCAAGGAUAUUCACCCUCAUUUGAGGAUUUAGGCCAUAAUUUUCCUGGGAUGUGUUCAUCACAGAAAGGCAACAAAUUCCUCUGACUACAUCAAAAGUGACCAGCAAUAUGUUCUUUACUACAUUGAUACUAAAAAGAAGGUGAAUCUCCCUGCAUUCAUCUUUUAGCACUUAAGAGAUGUAGUGAAGGAAACUAGAGAGGGCAGCAAGAAGAUGAGGAACUGAAUUCCACUUGGUAGGCUGAUUUUAUAUAUUCUGAUGGAGAGUAAGCUAAUAGACUCUCUAACAGAAGCUCAGAUUACCAAAGGGAUGGAACCUAUGGUUGGUGUCAUACCCCAAAAUGUAUCCUCUCCUUUUCACUUUUUCAUCUAACCUAUGACUUAAGAUUCAUCUGGAUGCAUUCAUACUUCAUUCACAUGCAUCAUUUAUUUGUGCUAACACUUGCUAAUGAUCAACAUAGUUUCAAAGCUUAUGGAUUGCAAAAGCUAGGGUUUUCUUGUUGUCCAAUCCCUAGAGAUAAGGUAUGGCUCAUCAUGGGGAAUUAUUUAGGGUGAAACCCUAAUUUCUUGAUCUGUGGGCCAUGGAUUCAAUGAGAUCACAACUAGGCAUUCAUCAGGGGAUCAAAACCCUAAUUCUUGGCUUUGUUCCUCUGGGAUCUUGUGAUUAACUCUUGAGCUUUAUUUUGAUCUUCUAAACCCUAAUUGGGGGGGCCCCCGUGAGAACCAGGAUGUGUUUGUGCUUGGUAUUGAGGAUUCAUCUGUAGCUUCUUGGUGAAGCAAAACCCUAAUUUAAGUUACCUUUCCUUGUGGAU